ACUCCUCCUUAUUCGUCUACCUCACCUCAUCAUCUUUGGUCUCAACCAACUUAGCAUAAGUCACCUUCCUCUUAACCUCUUCGUUCCACCUCCAGUCCCCUCGAUGCUUGCCAGAUCGACCUCUCGAGAUACCCAACACCUCUCUAGCGGUCUCCUUAAUUCAACUGACAGUCGUCUCCCACAUACUACCCAUAUUUCCUCUACUCUCCUAAGACCCUCUAUUCUUUAACUUCUCCUCCAUCUCCAAAGCACUAGCCAAAGUCAAGCUAGCCCACUCAAUCCUGGACCGAGCCUCCACACUCCUCUUCUUUCUUCCCUUAUUGAUUACCAAGUCCAUCACCAAUAACCUAUAUUGAGCCAAGAAAUUCUCGCUAGGUAUGACUUUACAGUCUUUACAUAGCACUCUAUCACCCUUCUAAAGGAGCAAAAAGUCUAUCUAAGUAUUGGCAACUGAACUAUGAAAAGUAAUAAUAAGGUGCUCCUUCUUCUUCGAAAAACUCGAAUUUGCUAUCCACAACCCAAAAGCCCUAGAAAAAUCCAAAAGAGAAGCUCCUCCUUCAUUCCUCUCCCCAAAAUCGAAAUCGCCAUACGUAUCAUCAUAACCUCUCGACAAAGACCUAAUAUGCCCAUUAAAAUCACCUCUCACAAAAAGCUUCUCAGUGCACGGGACGCCCCUCACUGCCUCAUCCAAAACCUCCCAAAAUCCCUUCCUUUUCUCCUCGUCCAAACCUACUUACGGAGCAUAGGCACUAAUAACGUUCAUUGUAGACCCUUCAAUGAUCAACUUAAUAGACAUCAACCUAUCACUGAUUCUCUUAACCUUCACCACUUGCUCCCUAAGUUCUUCAUCUACUAAGAUACCUACCACAUUUCUAUGUCUCAUGCUACCCGAGUACCAUAACUUAUAUCGAUCCACAUCUCUUGCCUUAGUGCCUAUCCAUUUAGUUUCCUAGACAUACGCUAUACUAACCCUCCCCUUUCUAAGAAUAUUUAUCAAUUCUAUAGACUUACCUUGAAGUGUCCCUAUGUUCCAGGACCCAAUGCAAGCACCCUUAUCUCACCUAGCCCUACUCCCCUUCGCCCCAACCCCGAACUCGAACCUAAACCCGACCCCAGCCCCGAUUCCAAUCUAUGACAUGAACCUAAUCCACCAUCUAUCCACCUAGCCACCAUUGAAAAGGAUAUGAUAGAAGAAAAUGAAGAAAAAAAGGAGACAAAAAACACGAUGUACAAAGGGUACGACUAAAAACAGCUAAAUAAGCAAACAAAAACCAGCAAGCAGGCUUGACACUUCGAAGCAACAACAAGCACUAUACUACCCACCAUAGGUAUGCUAAUAAAGAACAACUACUAAGUUACGGAGAAUGAAACCAGUAAUCCCAUAGGAACAAUCAAGAAAACCAGACAAGACAGCAAGAUAGAAAAAGAGACAAAAAGCCUAUACCAAAUAAAGUAGGGAGGAAUAAACAAGAGAAGAAUGAAACGAGUGCACCUGAUAUUGGGAGAAGACGCAGUGAAGGACGUUUUCUUGAUUGUUUUGUCGAAUUCCGAUAAAUUAGUGCCGAAAUUAGUCACCGAAAUUUGCUGCCUUUACCCUACUGCUGGUACUGUGUCCCUAUAAUUGGUCACCGACGAAUGUGUUGGUCGCCGGAAAAUGAGCUGGUCAUCGAAAUCUUGAUGUCGUCGCUUGAAGUACCGGAUCUGGGCUUGUAGUACCUACAAAAAGGUUAUAAAGAAAAAGGAACAAAGCUGAAAUACUCGCCAGAAACCGAUGUCACUCACCGAAAAUUGAUGUUCGUCCGUGAAACUUCGGCGUUGGCUUGGUGCGUCGACUGUGACACUGGUUCUUCAUCGGUGUUUGAGGAGAUGGAAGUGGACAGGGGUUGUAACUGUUGGUUUCUCCGGCAGUGGCCGACGUUACGGAUAUCGGUGAGGAUGGUGCUCUACCGACGAGGGUGAGAGUAGUGCAGUCUCACCGGUGAGAAAGUGAGGGUGUCGGCUGGUUUUGUGACUGGUGGGCUGUUCAGGGUGGUCGCUUGUGGUUGGCGGCGGUUGGCGAGUGAGAUCCAAGAAGGACGAAAACAAGAGUUCAAGGACGAAAAUCUUCCGUGAAUUCUUUAAAGAAUCAUUAAAACUCGAAAAUUGAGGAGUCUUCCUUUUCUUCGUUUCAUAUUAGUCUCUCUGCUUCAAAAUUUUGGCACUUUCCCUGCAUAUGCUUAUUCUUUUUUCCUCGAUAAAAUUUAUUCCUUUUAAUUUUUAUAUCAAUACAUCCUUGAAUUGAGUUUUAUUCCUUUAUACAGGCUGAUGAUUAUUUAGUGUUAAUGAGUUUUGUACGCUUUGUUUCAUGAAUAAUUUAGGAGUUAAUCUAUUCUGUUCAAUUUAGUGUUUUUGUUUAAUCUAUUUCGUUCAAUUUAGUGUUUUUGUACGCUUUGUCUCUAUUUCAGUGUUUUGAAGUUAAAAAUUUAGAUUUUUCAUCGACAUCACUUUUCUUUCUAUUCGUCAAUAAGUUCUUCCUGUGGUUUAAUAUUCAUUUCUUUGUUUUGAAUAACUUCUUGUUGUUGAUUUUCAUAUGCUUAAACUUUUAAUAGUAUUAGAGUAAAUAUUCAAUACUAAGGACUCAUUUGAUUAUGAAUAUUAUUCAUUUUCUUUCAAAAAUUUAUUUCACUUUAUUUGAAACAUAGUGUUUGACCAUUAAAAUUUCUAAUACAAGUUGAAUUUGAAAUUUGAAAAACAGCCAAAAUUUUUGUAUUCAUUUUUUUACUUUUUAAUUUAAAAUUUUCAAAAAAAUAUAAUUUUUUUAUUUUCAUAAAUAGUCCCAUUUAAAUUAUAUUCCAUCUUUAAAUUAUAUUUUGUAUUUUUAAAAAAAUACAUUUGAAUUCUAAAAAUUAGGUGUAAACAGUAUAGUCAAAAUACAACUCCAUCUCUAACUUUACAAAUUUUAAAUAAUAUAUAUAUAUAUAUAUAUAUUUUAAUUUUCAUUGUCAAAUGCCUACUAUAAGUAUUCUUUCUAUAGUUUUCAUUUCAGAGUUUGGGUCUAUAUUUCUUUGAAAAUUCAAAGGUUUUAGAGCUACAUUUUUUAUAAAUGUCAGCAUUGAGGAUUCAAUAAUGGAUAACAGGGGAGGAUAACGAUGUGAUCACAAAUUUUUUAGUUGAGGAAAAUUCAACUAGGGGGCUAUUUUACAAGGUGUUAAAGAUGAUGUAACUGUUUAUGAAGAGGAGGAGGAGUUUAAUAAUCUAGACUAUAAUUUGUAUAAUGAAGAUAAUGAUUUUCAGGAUGUUUUUGAUGAUGAAUAAGUUUUUAUUGAUUAUCAAGAAAUUAAAAAAUAGUUCAACAUUUGUUGAUGAUCAAUUUAUGGAUGUAGUGGUAUAAAAAUAAAAAAGAACAAAUUUUUUAAUGUGAGGUUCAUGUUUAAAUGGCAUGAAAUUUAUUUUGCCAUGUUUUUUUCUUUAAAUAAUAAAUGUAGUUGAGUGAUUUUAAAAAUAAAAAUCUUAAGUUGAGUAAUAUAUUUGAUCGAAAGCAAAGGUCAAUGACUUUGCUAGAUAAUUUUCAAUAAUUCAAUAACCUUUUAAGAUAUUAACUUAACUAUUUUUAGUAUAAACACCAUGUAAUUUGAAGCGGAGAGAGUAAAUCUUUUAUCUUUUAAGAGAAUUCAACAUAAGUCAUAUUCCUCCUUUUUAAUUUGAUUGUCUUAUUUUGACAUAAUACGAAAUUUAAUAAAGUAAAGUAUAUUUUUGAAUCUUGUAAUUUUAAUAAAAGAUAUGUAGAAUGUACAUAUAAAUUGUCUUUAAUCAUGUGAGUUUUAAUCAUGAUACGUAUAAAAUUAAAAUUAAGGAAUUAUAAUAAAGGAAAAUAAAUAUUCUUCUUAGACAAAAUUUUUAAAAGAAAAUGAAACGAUAAACUUAACCUGUCCGUAAGUUAUAAAUUUCCACAAGAGGGGUGCCAAUUGUCUCCCCUUAAAUAAGCGAAACUUUGCCGUAUUGGUGAAGAAUCCAAUCACACAAAAAUGAAGGAUACAUAGUCCUUUAGCCUUUCAUUGUUUUUUUUUUUCUUUCGAAAAUCUAAUAUGUUAAAACUCUAUUCUUUUAAUAUGUGCCUAGUUUCUGAAAUAUUAUAUUCUAUAUGGAACUGAGUCUUUGUCAUAGUUCAAUUGGUGUGGAAAAUUCGAGAGUUAAUGAGACUUAAUUUCUGUGACCUCUGUUUUUUGCUAAUAUAAUAGGUGGUGGUAAAAUUGACUUUUGUAUAGGCAUGUAUUUUUUCUUAUUGAAGAUAUUUUGUUAGCUUUUUUGUUUAGCGGAAACUUUCUAUUUUCCAGUAAACUAAAUUUAAAAUGCAUGCGUAAUGAUAGCACAUAUAUUUUUAAAGCGCUAAUUGUAGUGAAUUCGCCUGGUGUAAAUUGACAUGAAUUAUUAUGUAAGUGAGGUGACAAUUCUUGUGAUUAUUGAAAAAAAAAGGAGUAACAUCAAAUUAUUUGGAUGCAAAUUCUAUACGAGGGCUUUCAACAAAAAAUUUGUACACUGCAAUGACCUUCAUCAAUCAAUUUGGACGUGUAUUAUUGAAGAUUAGUUUUCCUUUGAGAUGUUGUUAGGCUGAGGCUGUGAUUGCUCCUUUCCAUGUGCAGAUAUCAUAUCAUUUGAUACACCAUGUACAUUAGCCACAACCCUUUUUCUUUUUGAAUUUUGAAAAUGUUGAAAGUUUGGACUAUUAUACUGCUUGUAGUUCUGAUUGUAUGACUUAGAAACUUGGAAAAUGUUGAAAGUUUCGACUAUUAUUCUGCUUGUAGUUCUGAUUGUAUGACUUAGAAACUUGGUUAGUGUUGAUUUGAGGAUACCCAUGCAACUUAUAACACCUCACCUUGGUGUGACCUGGCCUCUUGCAGAAGUCACAAAUAAUACUAUUUAUGCUAUUGCUGCUUUCAAAUAAUAAUUUCCUCCUCCAACAUUCCCUCCUGAAAAGCUACUGUUGCUGUCAUAAUUGUUACUACCACCUGAAUAGCCAACUUUCCCUGCAUAAAUGUUAGAAAAAUUUAUUCGAAAGAUCUGUCAGCAGAAUUCUUUCUAGUAUAUUGUAUGUAUUGACAUUCAUGGAUGUUGAUUCCAAUGCUAUACGACCAGUAGGCUUAAAACUUUCUUUGUUUUUCCUCCCUUAUUAGUAAAGAAAUGGCUUGUGACAUGGAAGGAAGUGGAUUCAUCAUGAGAAUAAUUCGUCGCAUAACUGUAUAUACUUCGUUUAAUCCCAUCAGAAAUUCAAUUAGGCCGUCUGUCCUGUUCUGCUUUGUGGACACCUUCCUUAGCACCACAAGUAAAUUCACAACUGCAUUGCAUGGGCGGAGCUACCUUCGCCAAAGGGUGGUCAGAUGCACAUCCUUCGCUGGAAAAUUAUAUAGUGAAUAGAGGUUAAAUGUUAAUCGUAAUGAGUGUAUAUUCAAUUUUGCACACUCUUAACUUAGUUGAGGAUAAAAUUUGCACACCCUUCACUAUAUUCCUGGCACCGCCACUGCUGCAUUGGUCCUUCGAACUCAAAGUAUUCAAUUAUUCCCACAACUUUUUCAUCCUAAUAUGAUACACAGUAAUAUCUAAGAUUCUCGGGAUAAUUUGCAAAAUAGACACUUUCAAAACUUAUUUUGGCAUUUAGGCACAAGUCUUGGAAAAUUAGGUGUUUAGACACUAAAAUGAUAUCAUCACUUCUUACAUACAAACCUACCACACAAGUUUUAAACUUUACACUUUAGUCCCCCACCUCAUCCAUUUAAUAUUUAAUAUUUCCCACCUUUUUUUAUAUUUCCACCAUUUUUUCAUAUUUUCUAUUUUAAUUUUAAAAAUUAUCCAAGAAGCCACCAAUAGGAGCUCCAUUUUUCACCAAUAAUUUUCGAUUCCGGCCACUUUUCCGAUGAAAAGUGGCCCAUCACAACUGAAAAUCUUCAUUCUUGAUCAUUGCCUUCAUUGUUGUUCCAUCCUCUCACCAUUUCUACUAGCUCGAAAAGCUUUCCAAAUCCACUCAAUACUUCGUCAUUAGAUAUACUUCAGUAGUUUAGAAGUCCUACAUAUACAUUUGUUCGUCCUAGAGCUAGGAGGGCAUUAAUUAUAUCCAAAAUCUGUCGAUUCGCUUCUUUGUACGAACGUUUUGAUACCAGUGAUCGACCAGUGAUCGAUCAGCUAUAGACCGAUACCUUAAUCUAUUAUUGAUUUGUGUGGUCUAUUAUUGCUGUAGCUGAGUAGUUAUCGUGGGUGGUAAUUAUAUCGGUGCGUGAGAGAAGGGUCCCAACUAUUGGAAGUGGAAAUCAUCUAGCAAGGAGACAGCUCUCAUCCUGCUGCGUCACAAUGAAUCGUACAACGACAUGGUUCAAAGCGUAAUUGAGAGUGGAGAAUUAGAAUGCGAGCCAAAGAACGUUGUGAUUAGCUAUGUAAUGAAUGAGUCGGGUAAAAUACAUCCCACGUUCAUAAAUAAUGAUCGGCAUGUGUUGUUAUACAUGUUGGAUGUCGCUGUCGAUCGCUCUAGGCCAUUAUUGAUGAUAAAUGUCGUCCCGGGGUCUCCGACAAUCCUGUCAUCACAACCGACAAUCGACGAACAUGAUUUAUUUGAAGAUGAGAGUUUGGAUGCUCAUCCAAUAGAUUCGAAAGAUCAUUCAAUGGAAUUGAAAGAUUCAAUUUUCUCUGAAGAAGCGGGAGAAGAGUGCGGAUUGAGAGCACAAACCAACCAUACCUUCUCCAACGGAACUAAUUUUCAGGUAAAUUAAAUAUUUAGCAGCAAAAAGAAGAUAAAAUUGUUGCUGGACGUAGCAGCUGUGAGAAAUUCUUUUGAUUAUGCUAUAUUGAAGAGUUGAGGCAAAUUUCUCAAGGUAAAAUGCGUUUGUCCUAGUUGAGCGUGAAUGUUGUUGGCAAAGAAGGAAGGUCCAGUAUAACCAAUACCUCCUCCUCCGUAAUAACCUAAACCAUCUCUUCUAUGGUCUAGGACAAGACAAGGAGCACUGCCACCACGAACUCCGGCGUAUCGCCUAUUUUUUAUGGGCGAUUGUGGAGCGGUUCAACAUGGAGCUCGAGGAGAUGAUCACCCCACCAUCCCCUUAGUUUAGGUUUAAAUUUUGUUGCUUUUUUUUGUUUUAAAUUCAUUGUAAUGAGAAGCUUUCAUGGUUAGGAAUAUGUUAGAUGAAAGCUUCUUUAUUUUGCUGUUUUUGCUCGUCUUUUGUUGUAGAUAUUGUUCUAUACCAUUGCAAUGAAGUAUGAAUGAAGUAUCUUUGUUUCCUAUAUUUGUUUCCUCUUUAAUUUUGCAAUUUUGUUCUUGUUUGAAUUUUUGUAAUUUUUCCUGUUAGAAGAUGAAUCAAAUGGUUGUGAGAUGUGAAAAUUGAUUCAUAUAUGAUAAUGGAAAAUGAAUCUAGUUUAUCCAGGGUUAUUUUGCUGUAAAUAUAGUGGUAAAUCAUUGCAAUGAACUUAUAAAUGAAGUAUUUUCAUAUUUCCUGCAUUUGUCUUCACUUUAAUUUUAUAAUUUUCUUUUUCUUUUUGAAUUUUUGCAAUUUACCCUGUUAGAAGAUGAACGAAACAGUUGUCAGAUAUCAAAUUAAUUCAUAUAUGCAAAUGGAAAAUGAAUCUGGUCUAUCCGCAAUUAUGUUGAUUUAUACAAAAUUAAAUGCAAAGUCGAUGUAGUUUAUUAUUUACAGAGCUCAAUAUCUAUGCGUAAACAUCUCCGUAAUUGAUGCAUUCCACUAUGAGGUCCAUCGAUUGUGUCCAGUGUAUAUCAUAGACUGUAAGCCUUAUCAAUAAUAUACCGUAUUGAUUUAUUUCCCUCAGUAGUUUCUUUGGAAAAAAGGGAAUAAUUAGUUAAUCAAAAAAUAUAUAAUUGAAUUUUAUGCUAUUAAAGGAUCUUAAACAUGUCAUGUGAUCGUAUGAGAGUCUACAGAAAUUUUACAAGGUGAUCAAGGAUGUGUGAGGAUGGACUGCAGAUGAACAAAUAAAUUCCUCACAACAUACUUGUGCUUUGGUAAACAUUGCCCUAAGGAUGUUGGUUGUUCAACCACAACUCAUCACCUCACAAAUCUUUGAUAAACACUUUUAAUUUACGUGGACUCUCAUAGGAUCACAUGACUUGUUUAGGCUCAUUCGAUUGCAUAAAAUUCAAUUACUUAUUAUUUUAUUAAUUAAAUAAUUCUUUUCAAAAUAUGUGUUAAUCACGGUCUAUAAAUAUGUGUCCUAAUCUAGUACAUUUAUUAAUGAAGUUGUACACCAUAUAUGCUAGACUAUGCUUAGUUAUGUACUCGGCCUGAUAUAGUCUAGCAUAGACUGUAAACUACUUUCACAAUUAAAUAACUAGACUAUGACAUUUAAUCAUAGACCAUGACUAGCACAUAUUUUGAGAAGGAUUAAUUAAUUAAUAGAAUAAUAAAUAAUUGGAUAUUAUGCAAUUAAAUGAGCCUAAACAAGUCAUGUUAUCGUAUGAGAGUCCACAUAAAUUGAAAGUGGUGAUCAAAGAUGUGAGGUGAUGAGUUGUGGUUGAACAAAUAAAUUCUCCACAACAUACUUGUGCUUUGGGUAAACAUUGCUCAAGCAUGUUUGUUGUUCAUCCACUACCCAUUCUCACACAUCUUUGAUCACCUUAUCCAAUUUACGUGGACUCUCAUACGAUCACAUGACUUGUUCAAGCUCUUUUAAUUGCAUAAAAUUUAAUUAUUAAUUAUUUUAUUGAUUAAAUAAUACUUCUUAAAAUAUGUGCUAGUUAUGGUCUAUGAAUAUGUAUCAUCAUCUAGUACGGUUAUUAAGGAAUUAGCUCUUAGUUUAUGCUAGAUGGUCAAUCUAUGCGGUGCAUCAUCUACCAAACGUAUGAGAAGUCAUCGAUUAUAAAUAAGGUCUAUGAAACUAGUCCAGCAGUAACAAAAAUCUAAAUAUCAAAUUGUUACAACAAUAAUAAAGUAUAUGUCAAAUCACAUCCAACGGUAAUAUCACCUUUUUCUUCUAUAAAAGGAAGGUUAUUUUUGUGUUAACACUCUUAUUUUUUUUGCUUUAAUUUUUGUUAACAACUACAAUGCCUCAAGCAUCCCAAACAUCAAGUGCAAAAGUGUCCUGCAUAUGUCGUAGUGGCAAUCUAACUAUUUUUAGGACGUCACACACCAAUUCGAAUUCAGGACAAAAGUUCUUUAACUGUGUGGUUGGAAAGGAUAAUGGCGGAUGCUCUUUUUUUAAGUGGCUUGACAAAAACUCAACGACGACCAGCCCAUCGACAUCAAAUUUUUGAGGCGCUUCUAAGUUUCAUAUACUAUAAAGGUUUCAGGAAUCUGAAGAAAAUAGAGAUCUACUCAUGACAUUGCUAAAAGAAGCUGAAGAGCAAAGGGAUUACUUGAAAGGAUCACUAAAAGAAGUCGAAGUGAGAAAGGAUCAACUAAAGCAAAUAUUGAUUUUGGCCGAGGAAAAAGAAAAAUACCUAAAAAAAUUAUUGUAUGGUUUGUUAUUGUUGUUGGCUUUCUGGAAAGGUGUAAUAGGGAUAUAUGAAACUGAAUAAAUAGAUAUAUGGUUUCUUAAAUCAAUCAUGGGUGUAAUCUAUAAUUAAUAGAGAAUUAUGUCUAUGUCUUUUCUCAUCGACCUCUAUAAACCAUGAUAGUUACUGUAAAUAUAUGAUUUACUCAAUUGAUAGUCUGUUAAGUCUAUAAAUUAUAGAGAACAACUUCUACAAUAUGUUCAAUCAACCACUAUAAAUUAGGACAAUGGCUUAACUGGUAAUGCAAAGCAGUCAACUGUUUAAUCUAAUGAGACAAUGGAAUAACUGAAAAUAAUUUCAUUAGUAAAUGUCAUCAUUGACAUGCCAAAUAUAUGUAAUUUAAUUAUCCAUAAAAAAUAAAUCACUAAAAACAACAAAUCAUUAAGAAAAUCGUUUGUUCCAAAUCCACCAAACUACUUAUUUUCUUGAUUGAGUUCCGAAACAAUGCCCAUCACAUCCACUUCUUUUUCAUAAUAUUUUUUUCCUCUUCUUCAACUUCUUUCUUCUCAUUUUCCUUCUCUUCUUCUUCUUCUUCUUCUUCUUCUUCUUCUUCUUCUUCUUCUUCUUCUUAUGAUGAUGAUGAUUUCUUCUCUUCUUCAAUGUUUUCAAACUCCUGUUCAACCACUAAUUCUUCGUCAAUUGCCUUCUCAUUUUUGUCUUCUUCUUCUUCUGAUUUCUUUUAACUACUCUAUGAACUCUUCUUUCCAUUUAUGAUCUACAAUAAAAAAUGACUCUGUAGUGGUCGAUAUAUCGACCAUUGAUCUAUUAAUAAAAAUAAAAAAUAUAGUAAAAAUAAAUCUGUGGUGGUCGAUCUAUUGACCACUGGUCUAUUAAGAAAAACGAGAAAACACCUCACAUCAAACAUAUAAAUCAAGUUCCAAAUUCACUAGAUAUUAGCAGUGCAAUUCACAACAACAAGAACACCAUUAAAAUGGGUCCAAUUUAGUAUUAAAAUUUCAAAAUCAAUACACAAUAUAAGUACAAAAAUUUAAAUUUUUCUUACUCAUUAUCCAAAGCAAAACACAAUUAAACAUGCGGAAUCGAUAAUGUUAACUAAAAACACUCAAAUUUCGACUAAUUCAAUGAAGAAAAGUGUAAUUUUUGUCAAAAUCGAAAAAAAUCCACACAAAACGUCAUAAAAAAAUUACUAAAAUGGAUCUAAAACUAAUCAGGGAAGAAAUUUAGACUUACCUGAACAAGAGAAACUGAAAAAUUUUGCCUGAGGAAGCAAGAAUCGUGCAAACUUUUUUUUUUCAUAAAAUAUAAACUAAAAUCGGGAGAUGGAAGGUUUUGAGGAGACAGAGAUGUAGUUGAAAAUAUUAAAUGAUUUUAUGAAAAAUUAAUAAAUAUAAAUGGGGACCAUGUUGUAUUUUUUUAAAAGUUGUAUUUUUUUUCCAAGUUUUAAAAAUGUUAAAGAAGUCCGUGACCCCACAACCCUGAUCCACUUUUUACCCUUUUCAUACCCUAACCCUAUAAAAUAAAUCAACAAGAAAUUUGGGGUCUAACCCUCAAAAUAAGUUUUGAAAGUGGGAAGUUAUCAAAAUUGUCUCAAAAUUCUCUGGGUCGUCAUUGAUUUCUUUUUGAAUUUGGUACAACUUAGCUCCAUUAGUGUGGCUGUACCUAUCCUCUAUUUCUCUCCACAAUUCAGCACAAUUAGUGCCAUACUGUACGUUAUUUGGUAUCUCUUUAGCUAAGGAUGUCAAUAUCCACGAGGUCACCAUAUCAUUGCACCUUUGCCACUAACAAGGUAAAUUUGCAUCAUGCUUCUCACAACUUUCAUCGAUGUAUUAGUUUUUGUCCUAAUUUUCUUACCAAAUUUGAGGUUUACAUUUUCUUAAAGAAAAAAUCAAAGUAGUAAAAGAAUUACUUUAAUUUUUCUAAAAGGAAAAUAUAUUUUUCUUCCAUAUUUGACUGACAUCUUUCUUGGAGGAAAUGUUUUGUAAUUCAAUAAACUGAAGAUCACUCUUCUCAUACCGUAACAGAAUAAUAUCCAUGAUCCAGUCUUUAAAGAGUCUUGUUUAGGAGGAUAUUUCUCUCUAAUAAUUUUUUAUACUUUUUUUAAUAUUAGGUUAAUUGGCCAAGCCAUAUAAUAAUUAUGCUUUUAGUAUAUUUUUCUUCGUUGUAUGAAUUAUUGCUUAUUUGGUUUGAAAAUUAUAAGCUUCAGCAUGAUGCCUUCUCGAUUUCGAACCCAACAAGUGGUGUCAGAGCCUAUGGUUCAAUGGUCCAGUUGUUCAAAUUGAGGAAAACUCAAGAUCAAAGUUGCAAUCAACUUGACGAUAAUGAAGAUCUUUUGUCAAAAAAAAGUCCAAAAAGAAAUACUACAUGUGGAGAUAUUUUAUUUUCAAUCAUAUGUUCAACAAUCCUGCUGCUAUAUAUUUAAAAAUAAAAAUACUUUUAACACUACGAAGGACUCACUUUUAAUCUCAUGAAGGGCUUAUUUUUAACCCUAUAGAGGGCUUAUUUUUAACCCUGCAAAUGACUCACUUUUAACUCAAAAGGACUCCAUUUAUAAACAUGCCAAGUAGAAGUGAUGAAGAUUAUGGGAAUAAAAAAAUCAUGCACGUGAUGAAGAAAGUGGAUCAAUUUUUUUCAAGAAAAUCAGCCAAAAAAGGGAGAUUUGUUAGAGUUUAUGUCUUGAUUUUCUUACCAAACUUGAGGUUUACUUUUUCUUAAAGAAAAAGUCAAAGUAGUAUGAUAAUUACUUUACUUUUUCUAAUAGAAAAAUAUAAUUCUCUUUCAUAUUUGGAUAACAUCUUUUUUAGAGGAAAUAUUUUGUAACUCGAUAAAUUGAAGAUCCCUCUUGUCAUACCAUAACACAAUAUCAUCCACAAUGUAGGCUUUAAACGGUCUUGUUUUGGGGAGAUUUCUCUCUAAUAGUUUUUAUGCUUUCUUUUAUAUUAGAUUUUCAUAUUUAGAACAAUUGGCCAAGCCAUAUAAUAUUAUGCUUUUAGUAUAUUUUUCUUUGUCAUCUGAAUUACCGCUUUCAUGGUUUGCUAAUUAUAAACUUUCACAUGACGCCCUCUCAAUUUCUAACCCUACACGNNNNNNNNNNNNNNNNNNNNNNNNNNNNNNNNNNNNNNNNNCGAUGAACCCUAGCUUAUUCAUCACUGACAAAGCUCACAAAACACCUUAACUCCAGGGUCAAUAUUAUACUCCAUCAAAAUAAGCAGGAACAAGCAUCAUCCCAGGGCUAUUCGAAGGAUGCACAUAAAGUGCAUUGUUUACAUUAUCUUUACUCCUAGCACUAUAUUCUCCUUGUUUAGUUGCCAUAAUCUCGAUUGGAAAAAAAUUUUAUGGAGAAAUUUGCAGAUAUGAGAAACAACAACAAAAUAUAGAAAUGUAAACUAAAUGACAGUUUCUUUAUGAAAUUGAGAAACAAAGGGCAUAAAAUUAAAGAGCAAUUGCUGCACAAAAAUGAAGGACAAAUUCAAAUUAAAGAAAAGUAAAGACGGAAUUAGAGAAGCACAAGAUUAUAUUGAGCAUCGCUGGCUCUGAUACCAUACUAAACAUGCACAUCCAUGAGGAAUUAUUAGAAACAAUCAACAUUCAUAGAUUAGAUGGGAGGCAAAACUGAAUAAGCAAAUGACAUGAAAAAUGAGAAAUGAAAAUUGUACUAAUUUCCUUUAAUGAGAGUAGUAUUUAUACAAGUCCUAAGUCUUGGUAUGAACAAUAUCCCGCCUGUCAUUUUAUUCAAAAUAAUCUAACUAACUAAUCAAGUGUGCUAACUGUCAGCUGACUAAUGCAACAAUGUUAACUGAAAAAUUUUAACAUUGGUAAGGCUCAACUAACCAAAGUAUUGAAGGUUCAUUAAUUUUUUGACACAUGGAUAUGUGAGGUCCAUUUGUCUACUUUAAAUCAAGAAUAAAAUUAACAAGAAAGAGAAAGGUAUAUCUAUAGUAAUUGAUAUGGAUUCCACUGACACAUAAAUUGAGUUAAACAAAGAUAAAAAAUGCAAUAGAAAUUCUAUGUGUUUGCUGUUUUUUUUUUCAAUACUAUUCUCUUUGCACGGGCGUUGCACAUGUGUCUCAUCAGCAUAAAGAGGUACUCCAAGAGAAUUUCUAAUUCUACUUAAUGACUCUUUACCCUAGAAAUUUAAUGGUAAAUUUAGAAGCCUAACCCAAAUUGGGAUAGUAGUCAAUACCUUAGCCUAGAAGUCAAAAUCAGCACUUCAUACCUUGAGUAUUAUUGGUUGAUUGUUUAUAGUAUGCGACCAGAGUAAAUAACUUCAUUAUGAUUAGUUAAAUAAGACGACGAAAUAUCCUUCAUUGUGGUAAUAAACUUUUGGCUUGCUAGUGAAGUUCCAUUGCACAACAAUGAACUGUUCAAGUGAACCAAUUAUGGGUGAAUCACCCACAACAUACAAAAUUAAUGUCUUUCUCCAAUUAUCAGUUUUCUUUUCAAUAUCUACCAGCUGAAGUUGAACAAUUUUAAUACCAUCUUGCACUACAUAGGGCACAAACUCCAAAUCUAUCUAUUUAGUUGUAAGUUUAUUUGUGUUGAACAAAGCAUUCCAAGGUUUUUCUGGUUCACCUUUGAACAUCUAAUUUCAUCUUGGCAGCAGGAUCUUUAUUUAUGGGAAUUUUCUCAAUCAAUUGCACGUUUCCCUCUUUUAGAGCUUAAAGUCUUGUUAUGAACUCCCACUAAUGUAGCCUUAAUUGUUGGUUCUCCCUAAUCUAAGGUAUGGGCUUUAACCAGAUUCUCACUUGCUGGUCCUCUCUUCAAUAGAGCAAUAUAUGGGGUAAUAGAUUUACCAUUCCUUAAGUACGUCGGUCCAUGUGGAGUUGUUACUAACUCUUGACCUUGCUGCCUAUACGCAGUCGCACUCUCCCCAUUCCGAAGGGCAUAUAUGUCAUAACCUAAACUAGGGCCUGGCCAGGACGGGCAUCUCAAGUCCAACAAAGAUCGAAGACCACCCCCUGAACCUAACCAAAUAGAACACAAUACCCCCAAUAGUGACUAAAUUUUGAAUAUAUAACAAGAUAGCAUAAGAUAAGCUCAAAGAAUUUAAGAUAUGUCUAUAACCGAUAACCGUUAACCAAUAAAAACAACCACCACCACCACCACCCAAGUCCACAGUAAUCCAUAAAGCCUUCUAACAAAUUUAAAAUUAAUAAAGUGUCGGGAUAUGCCCCUGAUGCUGACAAUGAAAGUGUAUAUGAACUCUUUAAGUCUAGUUUAUAAAAAAGAAACCGAUGGAAUGAUCAAGUCUUUCGGAGAAUGGAAGCUCACCACUUUACUACAAAUGAUCGAUGAACCGAGCUGAUCCACCUAACACCAUGCAGGAAAAGUAGAAGUAUCUUCGGUGCCUUUAUUGCAUGGGAAUACAAUGUUCGAAGAUGGUUAGUGGGUUGAGCACUAUAUAACUCAGGGAGAAGGUUAAAUCAAUGACAAUUCAAAAUUUAGUUCAACUCAAUGUACAUGUUCACCUAUAUGUAUACUUAUAUAAUAUGUCAGUAUAGGUAAAAAGGCUUAACAUGCUCUUUAAAACCUUAGCCUAGAUCGUGUAGCUCAACCGUCAUUUAAUAGUACCCACAGGCGAUAUGGUCCCCAGCUCUCACCCUCUGGUCGGGCCCCAGUGCAUGCAACCGCAAGAAUCAUAGAAUAAUCUCAUAUAUAUACAUGGGGGACUCGAACCUCCCAAUCAUAAACUAAGGUGACUUAAGCACCCGAUCAUAAAAUAUAAUAUGGGGGACUCGAACCUCCAAAUAAUAAUAAUAAGAUGGACUCAAACCACCUAGUCAUAACCGAGGCGACUCGAACCCUUGGCCAUUUCAACCCCUGUGCUAGAAAAUACAGUUUCUAAUAUUAGCCCCUCGGGACCUACACUUUCACGGCCUAGCUACACAACUCUCUUUAAGCUCUAUUAAAACAUUUAUCACACAUUGUCAUUCAUUGAACCAUAAUACAUAUUUAGGCAUACACUAUUGGUAUCGUUAUACCAACCACAGUUGCAAGAUAUCAUCAACAUGAAAAAUUAAUUCCAUUUAACUUGGGAGAACAACUCCCUUUGUUCAUUAAUACAAGGUAGGGUAAAACCGACUCCGUUUGUUCAUUAAAUAAAGCCAUCAUAUUUCAAUAACCUCUUAUAUCAUGCAAUUGUUCUGAAAAUGGUUCAAUGCAAUUAUAUUCAUGCUCAAAACAACUUCCAUAAAAUUUGGGAUGGGGUUAUUACCAAUUAAAUUGUAAAUAUUCACAAAAUUUAGGGAGAUCACAAUCCCCUAGUUUAUUCACCAUGCCCAUGCACCCCACAAGCCAUAAAUAAAGCAUGAACAAUUAUAUGUAAACCAUGGAAAAUAUUAUUCAGAAUCAAUCAUUCAAAACCCACAAUCCAUGUUCCAAAACCAACAUCCAAACCACAUGAAUAACUAAUUAAAACACAUACUUUUACAAAAUAUUUGUUGGGAAGAGUACCAUGCCUAAAAUAUCAAGAGUUAUGGAGAGAAUUUGCCCUUGAAAGCUCUAACUGAUCAACUUAUUUGAAACCCUAAGUAUCUUGCUUGAGAGAAUUUAGUGAGUUUAAGAGAGUGUUUUAAUUGUGAAUAGUAUGCUAAUGAAGUCCCAAAGAGGGUUUUAAGUAGUGGGGGCUAAGUAGGGUAGGAGAGAAAUUACCAAGAUGCCCUUAAUUAAAAGAAUAAAAAUUGACGCCUAGUUGCUACGGCUGACCUCACGGAACAUAUGGUCACCCUACGACUCAUUUAGUCCAGUUGUAUUCUGGAUAGUGUCCAGGGUUAUCCCACACUGGUCUGGUUACGAGUUGCACAAUAUGACUCAUACCCAGUCCUUAUGACUGAUAAACAUACUAGUCGCAGUCCCAACAGGAACUUAGGAUAGUACAUUGGCUCUUUUGCGAUUCACACCCUACAACUCAUUACGAGGCCCUACGACUCACAGGGUCUAAUUCAUAGUCAAGAUAGAAACUCCAGGCUAACAUACUAUGGCCAGGCUAUGAUUGGGUCCAUAAGACAGAUAAUGACACCCUAUAACUCGCAUGGUGAGUCGUAGUGGAGACAGUAAGCUCAAAGAUCAAUAAAUUUUUCAGGGAUAAAAAACUCAGGAUGUUACAUUCUCCCCCCUCAAGAUCAUUAGUCCCCAAAUGAUGAGACAAGGUAUCCCUUUGCAAGAUUUAACAUAGAAACACACCCAAUCUUACCUUUAACUAAGAUAGAAAAUAGAGAUAUUAAGAAUAACACAUACCUUAAGCACGAUUUUUCAGAAGGGGGAACAAGAAGGGAUACUUUGACUUCAUGUCCUCUUCAUCUUCCCAAGUAGCUUCUUCAACCUUAUGGUUCCUCCAUAGAACCCUUACCGAGGACACAUCCUUAGUCUGUAACCAAUGGAAUUGCCAAUCCAAGAUCUCCACCUGCACUUCCUCAUAAGAUAAGGAAUCCUAUACACCAAGGAAGGAUCUCCCACGCACUUUCUCAAUAUUGAAACCUGAAUAUCCGGGUGAAUAGAACCCAAACUCUAAGGCAAUUCCAAUUAAUAAUCCACAUUGCCCACUUCCUUCAAAAUCAAAUAAGGGCCUACAUAAUAGGGACUAAGCUUUCCCUUCUUUCUAAACUGCAUCACUUCCUUCAUGGGAGACACAUCCAAGAAUACCAAUUACCAACUUCAAAUUCUAGCUUUUUUUGCCUCACGUCCAUAUAGGACUUCUAGAGACUUUGGGUGGCCUUAAGCCUAUCCCGAAUUACCUUCACCUUCUUCAUAGAUUAAUUAACUAAAUCAGGACCAAACAACCCAACCUCGCCAACCUUAAACCACCGAAUAGGAGAAUGACAUCUCCUACCAUACAAAGCCUCAAAUGGAGACAUACCAACGUUACAGUGGUAGCUAUUAUUAUAUACGAACUCAAUAAGGGGCAAAUGAUCAACCCAACUACCACCAAAAUUAAUCACAAAAGAUCUAAGCAUAUUCUCUAAUAUCUGAAUGGUCCUCUCCACUUUUCCAUCCAUGUGAGGGUGCAAAGAGGUUCUAAGGUUUACUUUAGUCCCCAAACCUCUAUGAAAAGAAUGCCAAAAGAGUGAGGAGAACUGAGUACCUCGAUCUGAUAUAAUAGAAACCGAUGCACCAUACAACUUUACGAUCUCCUGAAUGAACAGCCUUGCAUAAUCCUCAACAAAGUAAUUAGUCCUCAUAGGUAAGAAAUAAAAAGACUUAGUCAUCCUAUCCAUGAUGACCCAAAUUGAAUUGAACUGAUGGAGAGACCACAAAGACCAGUAACAAAAUCCAUAUUAAUCACUUUCCAUAUAUUUUCGGGUAACUCAAUCUCUUAAGACAACCCACUAGGUCUCCAGUGCUCUAUCUUUACUUGUUGAAAAAUCAUACACUUGGCCACAAAAUUUGCUAUAUCUCACUUCAGGUUAUUCCGCCAAUAGAUCUCUUUCAAAUUAUUAUAACUCUUCACCAAACUAGGAUGAACAAUGUACUUCAACUCAUGAGCUUCAACCAAGAUCCUCUCUCGUAGCCUAUCAAUAUCGGGAACACACAACCUACCUUAGUAACUCAAUAUACUAUAAUCACCAAUCUAGAAAACCAUCAUUUUCUACUGGCCCACGUAUCCUUUACCAACUAUCACUUUUACUCCUCCACAUGAAAUAAUCGUUCCAUAGAUAACUUGCUAAGAGCAUCAGCAACCACAUUAGCUUUACCUAGAUGAUAGUGAAGACUCAUAUCGUAGUUUUUGAGCAACUCAAUCCACCUUCUCUGCCUGAGAUUCAAAUACUUCUAGGAGAACACAUAUUGGAAACUCUUAUGGUCUGAAUACAUGUCAACAUGAACCCCAUACAAAUGCUAGUUCCAAAUCUUCAAAGCAAAGACUACAACCAAUAAUUCUAAGUCAUGAGUUGGGUAAUUCUUCUUAUAUACUUUCAACUGCCUAGAAGCAUAGGCCACAACUUUACCAUUCAACAUCAAUACAUAACCCAGUCUCAUAUGGGAUACAUCACAAUAACCACAAAACCCUCGACCCUUAAGUAGGGUCAAAACUGAAGCCGAAGUCAACUUGUCCUUUAAUUUCUCAAAGAUACCCUCACAAGUAUCGAACCACAAAAAAUCACCUUCUUUUAGGCCAACUUAGUUAAUGGAGCAGAGAUUGAAAAGAACUUUCCACGAAUCUCUUAUAGUACCCGGCUAAACCUAAGAAUCUCCAAAUGUCAGUUGGAGUAAUAGGUCUGGGACACUUCUUAGCCGCCUCAACUUUCUUUGGAUCCACUAUGAUCCCCUCACUAGAAAAAACAUAACCCAAAUAAGACACCACAUUUAACCAUAACUCACACUUAGAGAAUUUAGCAUACAACUGCUGAUCCUUAAGGGUCUACAAAACUAUAUGGCGGUGACUAGCAUGAUCCGCCUCACUCUUUGAAUACACUAAAAUGUCAUCAAUAAACACAAUGACAAAUAAGUCCAUAAAUUGAAGGAAUACCCAGUUCAUAAGAUCCAUAAAUGCCACUGAAGCAUUAGUCAAACCAAAGACAUGGCCAAGAACUCAUAAUGGUCGUAUCGGGUACAAAAAUAGUCUUAGGGAUAUCCACUUCCCUAAUCUUCAACUGAUAAUAUCCCUACCGAAGAUCAAUCUUAGAGAAGUACUUACAACCUUAAAGCUAAUAAAAUAGGUCAUCAAUCCUAGGAAGAGGAUACUUAUUCUUUACCAUUACCUUAUUCAACUGGCAGUAAUCUUAGCAUAUCCAAAGGGACCCAUCCCUUUUACGCUCGAAAAAAUAGGAGCACCCCAUGAGGAAACACUAGGAUGAAUAAAACCCUUAUCUAGAAGAUCUUUGACCUGCUCCUUAAGUUCUUUCAACUUAGUUGGAGCCAUUUUAUAAGAAGGGAUAGAGAUAGGUCGGGUAUUUAAAAGAAGAUCAAUCCCAAAAUCUAUAUCCCUAUCGAGAGGGACACUAGAAAGGUCAUCAGGAAAUACUUCGGGGAAUUCACAAAUUACUGGAACAGAUUAAAAUAAAGGAACCUCAAAACUAAAAUCUUUAACAUGAACUAAAUAGUAUAGACAUCCCUUGUAGAUCAACCUCUGGGCUAUAAGAUACAAAAUGAAUCUUCCCUUAGGCAUUAGGGAACUACCUUCCCACUUAUUUAUUGGUUCAUUUGGGAAUUAGAAAUUUACCCUUAGGGUCCUAUAGUCAAGAUACACAUAGCAUGAGUGCAACCAAUACAUCCCUAAAAUCAUAUCAAAGUCUAACAUGCCCAACUCUAUCAGAUCCACUAAUGUCUUCCUACUAUGGAUAGGCACCACAAAACCCUUAUAAAUCCUUCUAGACAUAAUAGAAUCACCCACUGGGGUAAACACAAAGAAAGGAUUAGGAAUACAAUUAGGACCAAAAUCAAAAUGAACAGCCACAUAUGGGGUCAUAUAAGAAGAGUAGACCUCGGAUAAAGCAGGAAAUACAUAUAAUAAGAAAAGAGUUGUAAUAUACCAGUGAUAACAUUAGGAGAAACUUUAGAUUCUUGAUGUGUGAAGAGAGCAUAAAGGAAGUUUAUACCUGUGUUAGAGCCAUAAGUAGCAAUGAAAUAUCCUGGUUUCUAGACCUUAGAAAAUUUCCUAGAAUUUUGGUCUCUAAACCUAAUACAACUCAUGGGUACGAGGCAUAUGUUGGGGUAUGAAUGGUAUGGUCCAGUCAUAUGCUGGCUAGUGUAGUUAGUGGGAUGGAUUUUGGUCACUGGAAUGGGUAUGACUUGUAUGGUACGAGAUGUAUUAUCAGAUACAGAUCAUUUGGUUUUUUCACUUAACCUUAGACUUGGUAACCUAGGUUGGAUCUAGGUAUGAGUGGCUCACCGUGAGCUAUGAUUCAAGGUACAAGUCAUACCCAGGAAUCGUAUGGUGGAUAGUGUUCAAACCUUCUGUGAUUUUAUCUUACCAGAGAUACGGGUGAAGCAUACGGAUCGUAUAUUUUCAAUACAACUUGGGUAGGAUGAGUUAUACACUGGAUAGUGUUGGAUUCAAGGGUUAAGUCUUAGGAUACGAGUGGUGUGCACCCCUAAUAUCUAGGGGUAUGACUCGUGAGGGUCAGUCGUACCCUUGUGAUGGAAUUUUGUGCAAAUUAAGUGGGGGUAUUAUGGAUAUUUCCCCACUUACCCUAAUAAGGUACCACAACUUCUAAUUUUUUUAGGAGGCUAUUUACCCUAUUAUUAUAUUCAUUAACACUUAGAAACUCUUCCUAAACACUCUGUAAUUCUCUCAAAAGCUUUUGGGCAAAAUAGCUAGGGUUUUACAACUAGAGGACUAAUUUGGUGUAACACCCCAAGAAAACACCCUGGGAGUCACACGGUGCUUACAAUUUUGAAGGACCACAAGCUAACCCAUGACUGGUACCUACUGUGAGCACUGAAUAUAAUACUAAAAUAUAUAUGCAAAAGAAAUCUGAAAAUACCAUAAGAUUCUUCAAAAUACUGAAAUAAUAACUGAGUAUAACUGAUAAUAACAUCUAAAAACUAAAUAGCUGGCUAUAUUAGUCUAAAAGCCUCUAACUGUCUGAAUAUGGAGUUUAUGGGACAAACCCCCAACUAACUCUAACUGAAGUAACUAUUGAACUGUUGAAAUACUAAAAUAGAUAAACUCUAUCCUCAAAAUAUAAGGACUCACCACUAUAACUGCUGCUGAUAACCUAAGCUCUUAAGUACGAUUAGGAACUUAAGCAUUUGAACCUAUGAUAUGAGAUAUCAUAGCACAAAAGAGAGAGUAUGCGUCAGUGCAUAGAAUAUUGUAGUAUGCUAAGUGAGGUAAGGCUGAUAUACAUGGGUUCAUAUGCAUAAUAUGAAAAUUGACUGAAUGAACAUCAUGAAGUAACUGGAUGAGAGUACAUACAAAACUGUAACUACCAAACAUACUAAAUAUGCAAUACUGUGCAUAUAGGUAUACAUCACAUAUUUGAGAUUAUACUGAAACUAAGUACUAAAUUUUGAUAGCUGAGUCAUAAAUUACUAAUAGUCAUGGUUUUAUAGAACUGAUUAAGUUAUUUACUAAAUACUGAGACUUAAAGUGUAACUGUGGGAGUGUUUAUCUAACUGACAUACCCCGAUAUACACUAAUUUGGGGUCCAACCCGUGACCCCAUUAGAAGGGUGUUAGUACCUUGCCACAGGAUACUAAAAAUGUUGUGUCAACUCUAAUCUGGUAGGAAAUAUAUGAUUGUGUCAACCCUAGUCUGGUAGAAGGACGACUUACCCUACGCUGGCUACACAGUUCCAAAUACAAGGAUUGCUACUAAGGGUAAAACCCUCUACUGGUAGGAAUGCCUUCAUCCUUGGGUUUGCUCAAUGCUGAAUCCUACUCCUAACUGAAUCAACACUGAUCUGAUCACUUGAUUAUACUAGGCUUGACUAAACUAACACUAAUUAUGUUGACUGAUUGAACUGGAUUGAGUUCACUGGAUUCUGUUAACUGACUGAGUACUACUAUUCUUGACCUUUAUUGAGACUAUUCUAUAACUACUGCAACUAAGUAAACAACUAAAUUUUGGGUAAUAAAUACCCCCAGGACUCGAUAGCAUAAUUGAUAAACUCAUUUAACAACUAGAAAUACAACAAUAGGUUACCAUGCACAGUUUACUCGUAUGGACAUUUUAUCAAACACUUAGAGAGCCUGCUUGUUAUACAUGAGAAAUAAACACAUGGGGAAUCAUAACUUCAACAUGUAACUUGUAAAUUCAAGGUCUUUGACAUGAGAGAUUCAUAAUUUAAAACACAUGCUAACUUAAUUUCAUGGAACUCAUUGCUAGGUCCAUCUAAAGGCAUGGUUUUAUACAAUGUUUUUAUGAUUUAAAUGUUGUAUGAUUUUUGGUUUACCAAUAUGAUUUGGAGGUUUUGGUUAUAAAUGCUUGGUUAUGGUUUUACCAUGUUUUAAUUAUGCUUUUGUAUGCAUUAAUUGUGGUUUUGGUUAAUUGGUUGUAUGAGAAUAGUUUUCUUUGGUAAUGGACUUUGGUUUUGGAAAUACUAUGCCCCCAAUAUGUUUGAUAAAAUGCCUUUAACAAUAUUUUACUAUAAUAUUGGCUUUAAAUGGAAUUUAUGCAUGGUUUAAACUUGGUAAUGAAACCCUAAAUGGUAUGAAUGGUUUAAAUGAUUUUAAAUAGAUUAGAAAGGCCUUAGUGGCCAUGGUUUUGGUUAAUUGGAAAUCAUGAAGGGUACAAGGAGUCCCUUAAACCUAUAUAUUAUUCGCUAUGGACAAAACUUACAAGUAUAGUUGGUUUGACGGUAUCACUACUAAUGGCCUUGGUUAAUAAAUGGUCAAUGGAUUGGUUGGUUUCUUGGUAAUGGUUUUUAAUUUGGCAAUAAUGGAGGGGUGUGUAGAAAAUCUAUGGAAGGUAGAGGUUCCAGGGGGACCAAAAUUGGAAACUAAUAUUUAUCGAUGUGAGGUUUGGUGUUGGUGACCGUGUGUAUGAUGUCACACUUUAUAUUUGGGGGAUUUACUAGUCAUACCAGGAUUUCUUCCCUAGUCAUGUGGCUUUAUGCACUAGGGCUCUUUCAGAAAAGGGAGCUGAACCUAUAUAGCCAAUGGGUGGUUUAGGAUGGUAAAACUAUAUAUCCCAUUAAAGAUUUUAAUGGCAUGCUAAACCUGGUUCCUCUUUCCCAACAUGGUUAUAUAUAUAUGUAUGGUUGAGUGUAUAUGGAUGGUUGUACUUAGUUUUAUAAAUGGCAUUAUUUUAUCCUUAUCCCGAGUUCAUGCUAUCAAUCACUCUCUAACCCAUCUCUGGGUGGCUGUAUACCCAUACUAUAUAGGAAUCGACCAUUCUAUUCCUCUUACAUAAUGAUUGACUUGGGGAUAAUUUUUGGAUUAAAGUGGUAAGCUUCCAUUUUUUUGGAAGGCUCCAUUUCAUGUUAUGGAUAUUUUUAGUCAUUUGAUUUAUCUUUGGAUAUUGGUUUUAGCUCUGGUUGGGGGCAUUUCCUAACUUAAUAUUCUUACUCUUUUGGUUAGAGGCUUUGUAGUACUACUAUGGGUUAGAAUAGGUGGGAUUGAUAUUAGUGUCGGCCUUAGUAUUGGCAUUGGAAUUAGGCAUGACAUCAUUAGACAUAAUUUUUUUACUGUUCCAUUGUAUUUUAUUUUGGGAUUAAUCAUAUUAUGUUUUGGAACUCAUUUUGUUUUGGCCUAGUUUAUAGCCUUCGAAUUGGUAUUAGUGUGGCUUGGGGGUUUGGUUGGUACGGUUUGGUAUGAUGGGAUAACUUAAUAGGGUUUGUUUAGGAAUAGACCUACCCCAAAGUUAGUCCUUUUGCAAUUAUGCUAUAUUUUUAUAUGUUUUGUAUUUAGCUGACUCAAGGUAUGCUAAUGGUGGUUGGGUUGGGUAGUAGAGGUUGGUCCCGAUCCUGGUUAGACUUGGGAUGCCCAUUACGAGAAGUACCUCGAUUGGGUCAUGUCAAAUUGGUAUCAGAUCUUUAGGUUCAUGGUUAAUUAGGAGUCCAAAAAUCCAUGUAUAGUAGAGUCUCUUUUGAGGGUGUGUAGCACACUACACUGAUAAUAAAAAGGCUACAAGGCAUUUAGGAAUGUUUCACUUUCUUGGUAUUCUAUUUUCAAGCUUAGAGUCUAACUCCUGGAAUUCUUCUCUAAUCCUUGGUUGUUCACUUUUUAGAUCAUUCCUCAAUGAUCUGGAAAAUAAUGAAACUCUUCACUCCUAUUUGGGGACAAUGUUAAUAGGGUACAUCUUACGUUUGGAUUUCAUCUUUGAUCUCAGGGUCCUAUCCCCGAUAGUUCUGGAGUCCCUCAGGUUGCUACUAGUCCUCCUCAAGGUGAGGUGAUUAAUGCAGAAUUUUGUCAGUUUAUUUAUACUAUAGCUCAAUUGGUUGUUUCUCAGGCUAAGUGGGAUGCAUCUUGUGGGUUGUCUGCUGAGGCCAUAAGAGUUGACUAGUUUAUGAAACUAAAUCCUCCUAUUUUUACUAGUGUGAAGGUGGAGGAGUAUCCUCAAGGUUUCUUGGAUGAGAUGGGGAAAAUAUUUAGGAUGAUGUAGACCACUAAUAUGGAAGGUGUAAACUUUACAACUUAUCAUCUCAAGGAUGUUGCGUAGCAAUCUUUAGGAGAAUGGGAUAGGGAUAUAGGAGAUGUAGAGGAGUCACCCUUAUGGGAUGCUUUUUUUGGAGCUUUUCUGGAUUGUUUCUUUCCUCAAGAGAUAAGAGAAGCAAAGAUGAGGGAGUUUGUGAAUCUUAAGCAAGGGAGAAUGUCUAUUAAGAAAUAUGCCUUGAAGUUUUGCCAGCUAUCAAGGUAUGUUUCUAAUUGAAUAGAUGACAUGAGAGUGAGGAUGAGAAAAUUUUCUUCUAGAUUAAAUCAGAAUUUGAUCUUAGAAACUAAGACUGCUUUACUGAUCAAAGAUAUAGACAUUUCUAGAUUGACUAUUUAUAUACAGCAGGUAGAGAAUGAGGAGAGAAAAUAGGCAGAGUUUGGAGAUCAGCAAGGUAAAAGGAACAAGUUUUCUAAUCAGGGAGGUGAUCGGUCAUAAAGUAGUCAAGAUGGAGGUAAAUGGAUGAAAAAGUAGUAGAGGAGUUCUAGUUCCUUCUCUACGUCUAGCGCUCCUUACCUGAGGUAGUCGGGUGAUAGGUGUCAACAGGGUGGUACUAGGGGGUUAGUGGAUUUCUUCAUGCCCUCCUUUCCAAAUUUGUGGACGUCUUCAUUAGGGCUAUUAUAAUAAAGGAAGGGACAAAUGCUUCAAGUGUGUCCAGACGGUCCAUCAGCUCAAGAAUUAUCUGGUUAAUAAGGUUGCUAUGGGAGCAAAUAAGGAAUCGGUGGCUUCAUCUUCUACUCCUAUGCCUCUUGGUGCAACUUCAGUAUCUUUUCCUGCUUCCGAUACUGGUACUGACAGGAAUAGGUUGUAUGCUCUUGCAUCUUGGUAGGAAUCUUAGGCAUCGCCUGAUGUCGUUACUAGUAUGUUAUAACUCUUUUCUCGUGACGUGUAUUGUCAGAUUAAUCCGGGAUCCACUCUUUUUUAUGUGACCCCAUUUGUGGCUAUAUGUAUUGGUUUUGAUCCUGAGGUUGUUUUGGAUCCUUUUUCUGUUUCUACCCCUGUUGGUGACUCGAUUAUUCCUAAGGAGUCUACACGUGGUGUGUGGUAUAUGUUAGUGGUGGGCAGACUUUGGUGGAUUUGUUUGAACUUUAUAUGGUGGAUUUUGAUGUUAAUUUGGGAAUGGAUUUAUUAUACUCUUGUUAUGCGUCCAUGGAUUGUCAGACCUGUAAGGUUGUCUUUAGGUUUGCUGGUGAACCGGCUAUAGGGUGGGAGGGUAGUUCCCUAGAUCCUUGGGGGAGGUUUAUUUCUUAUCUUAGAGCUUAGAGGUUAAUCUCUAGAGGUUGUCUUUAUCAUUUGGUUUAGGUUAAAGAUUUUAACUCAGAAGGUCAUUCUUUACAGUAAGUCCCGGUGGUAAAUAAGUUUUCUAAGUUUUUUCUAGAUGAUCUUCCUGGUGUUCUUCCAGAUAGGGAAAUGAAGUUUGGUAUUAAUUAGGUUCUGAACACUCAUCCAAUAUCUAUUCCACUUUAUAGAAUGGCCUUGGCUGAGUUAAGGGAACUCAAGGAGCAACUUAGGGAUCUGUUGGAUAAGGGGUUUAUUUAUCCUAGUGUAUCUCCGUAGGGUGCACCGAUGUUGUUUGUGUGUAAGAAGGAUGGUUCCUUUCGGAUGUGCAUUGACUAUAGGUCGUUGAAUAAGGUGACGGUUAAGAACAUGUAUCCUCUCCCAAGGAUAGAUGAUUUGUUUGAUCAGUUGCAAUAUUUCAAAUUCUUUUCUAAGAUAGAUCUUUGGUCUGGGUAUCAUUAACUAAAGAUUAUGGAGGUGGAUAUCCCUAUGAUGGCUUUUCAUACUCAGUAUGGGCACUUUGAAUUCUUGGCGAUGUCAUUUGCAUUGACUAAUGUCCCGACGACAUUUAUGGACUUGAUGAGCAGGGGCUUUAGGCAGUUUUUGGAUAUCUUUGUCAUUGUGUUUAUUGAUGACAUUCCAGUUUAUUCCAAAGGUAAGGUGGAUCAUGCUAAUUACCACCGUCUGGUAGUGUAGACCUUGAAGGAAUAACUAUUGUAUGCCAAGUUCUCCAAGUGUGAGUUUGGUUGAAUACUGUGGCUUUUAUUGGUCAUAUUAUUUCUAGCGGGGGGAUCAUGGUGGAUCCGCGAAAGGUGGCUGCAGUUAAAAGGUAGCCAAGACCCAUUACUGCAACCAAAAUUCAGCGCUUCUUAGGUUUAGCUGGAUAUUAUCAACAAUUUGUGUAGAGCUUUUCGACGAUAGCUGCUCCUUUGACUAAGUUGACUCAGAAAAAGGUGAAAUUUUCUUGGUCAAAGGCUUGUGAGAGAAGUUUUAAUAAGUUGAAAUAUAAGCUAACUUUAACUUCGGUUUUGACACUGCCCGAGAGCAGUGGGGGUUUUAUGUCUUAUUGUGAUGCAUCUAGGGUGGGACUUAGUUAUGUUUUGAUGCAGCAUAGGAAGGUAAUUGUCUAUGCUUCCAGGUAGUUGAAGGUACAUGAUAGGAAUUAUCCUACUCAUGACUUGGAGCUGUUGGCGGUGAUUUUUUCCUUGAAAAUCUAGCAGCAUUAUCCGUAUGGAGUAUACAUAGACAUCUUUUAUGAUCAUAAGAGUCUACAGUAUGUGUUCACUCAGAAGGAGCUAAAUCUCAGGCAAAGGAUAUAGUUGGAGCUUCUCAAAGACUAUGAUACGAGUUUUCACUAUCACCCAGGUAAGACUAACGUGGUUGUUGAUGCUUUUAGCAGGUUGUCCAUGGAGAUUUUGGAUUAUGAGGAGAAAGAAAAGUAAAAGUUGGUGAAAGAUAUUCACUGCUUGGAAAAUAUUAGAGUUCAUCUUAUGGAUUCCGAUGGUGGUGGGGUAAUGGUACAGGAAGUGGUUCGGUCAUUUCUUAGUGCAGAGAUUAAAGAGAAGCAAGUGCUAGAUCCUAUCUUGAUGAAAAUCAAGAGUAAUAUGGGUAUGCAGUAGGUAAUGGUUUUUGAGAUUAGUGGUGACGAAACUUUAUGAUACCAAGGGAGGUUGUGUAUUCCUGAUGUCAAUGGUUUGAAGCAAAGGAUUUUGGCUGAGGCACAUGAAUCGUGUUAAGUUGUACAUCCCGACUCAAAAAAGAUAUAUCAUGAUCUCAUCGAGAUGUAUUGGUGGAAUGGUAUGAAAAGGGAUAUGGCUAAUUUUUUGGCCAAGUAUUUGGUGUGUCAACAAGUUAAAUUUGAGCGCAUGAGACCUGGUGGGUUGUAUCAAGAGAUUUUUUUGUUCGAAUAAAAAUGAGAGAUGAUCAAUAUGGAAUUUGUUAUUAUUUUUUCUCAGUCUCAAAAUUAAUAUGAUUUGAUUUGGGUCAUCGCGGAUAGGAUGACAAAGUCUGCUCACUUCUUGCCAGUAAGGACUACCUUCUCAGUGGAGGAUUAUGUGAAGUUAUAUAUUCAGCAGAUUGUGAAGCUGCAUGGAGUACCUAUUUUGAUUAUCUCUAAUCGUGGUAUGUAGUUUUCAUCUUAUUUCUAGCUGUCUUUUUAGAAGGGAUUGGGUACUAAGGUGAAUCUGAGUACUGUUUUCAUCCUCAGAUGGAUGGACAAGUAAAAAGGACUAUUCAGACAUUGGAGGAUAUGUUUCAGGCAUAUGUGGUUGAUUAUGGUAACAGUUCGGUUGAGCAUCUACUUUUGGUGGAGUUUGCUUACAACAGUAGCUAUCAUUCUAGUAUUGACAUGGAACCUUUUAAGACAUUGUAUGGUUGGAGGUGUAGAUCUCCUAUUAGUUUGUUUGAGCUGGGUGAGGUGGAAUGUUUGGUUCGUAUUUCGUCUAUUAGGAUAUGGAAAAGGUGAAGGUGAUUCAUGAUAGGCUUAAAGCUUCGCAAAUUCACCAAAAGUCCUAUACAGAUGUGAGGCGUAGAGACUAGGAGUUUGAGGUAGGGGAUAAGGUAUUACUCAAGGUAUCUCCUAUGAAGGGAGUAAUUCGAUUUAGCUAAAAGAGGACGCUCAGUUCUCGGUAUAUUAGUCCUUAUGUGGUUUUACGAAGGGUUGGAAAUAUUGAUUACAAAUUGGAGUUGCCUUCUAGUUUGAACUCCAUUCAUCUGGUAUUUCAUGUCUCUAUGUUGAGAAAGUGUCUUGGUGAUCCUUCUUCGAUUGUUCCUUUGGAGGGGUUGGGUAUCUUCGACUCCCUGUCUUAUGAAGAGGUCUCAGUUGAGAUCUUGGAUAGGCUGGUUCGUCGGUUGCAAACCGAGGAUGUUGCUUCAGUUAAGGUUCUAUGAAGGAACCAUAAGGUGGAAGAAUCUACUUGGGAAACGGAGGAGGACAUGAAGUCUAAGUAACCGAAACUAUUUUCUGCUCUUGGGAUUCGUGUGGAAGGUAUGUGUCUUCAACACAUCAUUAUUUUUUGAGUUUUUUUAUUUUCUGAAUUUGUUGAAGAAAAGAUUAAUAUCCUUGCCUCUAUGGUUUCAAACUUUGUUAAAGAUUGGAAAUAUAUUUGAUAAUGCAAAUGACUCGUGCAUGUGGUCACCCCUAUCUUCUCCAUCAUUCAGGUACGAAUGUUCCUAGUAGGGAAGAUUCAAAUACCUUGGUUUCUGGACCUUAGAAAAUUUCCUGGAAUUUUGGUCUCUGGACCCAGUAUGACUCAUAGGUACGAGCCAUAUGUUGGGGUAUGAAUGCUAUGGUCCAGUCGUAUGCUGACCAAUGUUUGUUGGUGGGAUAGAUUGUGGUCACUGGAAUGGGUACGACUUGUAUGGUACAAAUCGUAUGGUCGAUAUGAAUCAUUUGGUUUAUUUACUUAACCUUAGGCUUGGUAACCUAGGUUGGAUAUGAGUAUGAGUAGCUCACCGUGAGCUAUAAGUCAAGGUAUGAGUCGUACCCAGGACUCGUAUGGUGGAUAGUGUUCAAACCUUCUGUGAUUCUAUCUUUCCAGGGAUAUAGGUGAAAGGUACAGAUCAUAUAUAGUUUAUACGACUUGGGUAGGAUGAUCCAUACACUGGACAAUAUUAGGUCCAAGGGUUAAGUCUUAGGAUACGAGUGAUGGGUACCACUCGUAUUGAAGGGUACCACUUAUAAGGGUCAGUCGUGCCCCUGUGAUAAGAUUUUAUGCAACUUAAGUGGGGGUAUUUUGGACAUUUCCCCACUUACCUUAAUAAAGUCUCACAACUUAUAACUCUCUUCCUAAACACUCCAUAAUUCUCUCAAAAGCUUUUGGGCAAGAAAGCUAGGGUUUUACAACUAGGGGACUAAUUUAGGGAUCUUGUUGGUAGUUUUUCUCCAUCUACUUUGUAAAUUAAGGCAUGUUCUCUUCCCCAAUUGUUAGUUCCAACUAAAGACAUGGUUUUAUACAAUGUUUUUAUAAUUUAAAUGUUGUAUGAUUUUGGAUUUUCCAAUGUGAUUUGGGGUUUUGGUUAUAAAUUCUCGAUUAUGGUUUUCCCUUGUUUUAAUUAUUCUUUUGUAUGCAUUAAUGGUGGUUUUGGAUAAUUGGUUGCAUGGGAAUGGUUCUUUGGAAAUGAACUUUAGUUUUGGAAAUACUAUGCCCCCAAUGUGUUUGAUAAAAUGCCUUUAACAAUGUUUUCACUAUAAUAUUGGGUUUUCAAUGGAACUUAUGCAUGGUUUAAACUUGGAAAUGGAACCCUAAAUGGUAUGAAUGGUUUAAAUGAUUUUAAAUGGAUGGGAAAGGCCUUGGUGUCCAUGGUUUUGGGUAAUUGGAGAUCAUAAAGGGUACAUGGAAUUCCUUAAACCUAUAUGUGGUUGGCUAUAGACAAAACUUGCAAGUAUAGUUGGUAUGACGAUACCACUACUAAUGGCCUUGGUUAAUAAAUGGGUAAUGGAUUGAUUGGUUGCUUGGUAGUGGUUUUUAAUUGGGCAAUAAUGGCAGGGUGCAUAGUAAAGCCAUGGAAGGUGGAGGUUCCGCGGGGGGGAGGGGGACAAAAAUUGGAAACUCAUAUUUGCCGAUGUGAGGUUUGGUCUUGGUGAUCAUGUGCAUGAUGUCACACUUUAUAUUUGGGGAAAGUACUAGUCAUCUCAGGUUUUAUUCCCUGGUCUUGCAGAUUUAUGCAUUGGGGCCUUUUUAACAGGGGGAACUGAACCCAUAUAACUCAUGGGUAGUUUAGGAUGGCAAAGCUACACAUCCCACAUAAAGGGUUUAAUGGCAUGCUAAACCUGGAUCUCUUUUCCCGACAUGGUUCUAUAUAUAUGCAUAGUUGUGUGCAUAUGGUUGGUUUUACUUGGUUUUAUAAAUGAUAUUAUUUUAUCCUUAUCCUGAGUUCAUGCUAGCGAUCACUUGCUAACCCAUCUCCGGGCGACUGUAUACCCACGCUAUGCAGGAACAGACCAUUCUACUCCUCCUACAUAGUGAUUGGAUCGGGGACAACUGUUAGAUUAAAGUUCCGAGCUUCAAUCUUUCUAGAAGGCUCUAUUUCAUGUUAUGGAUAUUUUUAGAGGUUUUGAUUUAAUUUUGGAUAUUGGUUUUUGAUAUGUUUGGGGGCAUGUCCCAAUCAGAUAUUCUUACUCUUUGGUUCGAGGCUUUGUGGUACUACUAUGGGUUGGAAUAAGAGGGAUCGGUUUGGUGUUGGCCUUAAUAUUGGCACUAGUCUUGGGGAAGACAUCAUUGGACAUAAUAUCUCACUGUUCUAUCAUAUUUCAUCUUGGUAUUAAUCAUAUUAUGUUUUAGAACUUAUUUGGUUUUGGCCUGGUUUAUAGCCCUCAGAUCAGUAUUGAUAUGGCUUGGGGGUUUUGUUGGUACCAUUUGGUUUGACGGGAUGACUUAAUAGAGUUGUUCUACGAAUAGACCUAUCCCAAAGUCAGUCCUUGUCUAUUUAUGCUAUCUUGUUACAUGUUUGGAAUUCAGCCGACUCAAGGUAUGCUAAUGGUGGUUGGGUUGGGUAGCUGGCGGUGAUCCCCGUUCCUGGUUGGACUUGGGAUGCCCAUUACGACAAGAACCUUGGUCGGGUUGUGUCAAGCACCCUUUGGUGCUAGAGCUAAAGACGUGGCAACCAGGACCUUAUUAGCCCAGUAGUAACCCUGACUGAUGGAAAAUCCCACUGUAGGUGGCCCAACUGACCACACUUAACAAACUUAUUCCUUCCCUCCUCACAAAAUUUGUGAUACACCUGUCCACAGAAAUGGCAACGGGGAUAAGAUUGGGAUGACUAAGCUCCACUUGUCUGAGAUUGGGCACCUUGUGCCCUAAACCCACUAUUGCUCUGAAAACGACGAUCACCGAAUGACUUACGAUACGGAGCACUAGCCAUAGAAUAGGAACAAGAAUUGCCUUACUUUUUCUUAGGCCAUUUUCCACCACUAUACCACUAUACUGUUGACUUCCACCUUGGUUUGAAUACCAAAACUUCUUACUCAGCCUCUCCCCAAUUUUUGACUACUUUUUCUUUUCCUCCUCGAUUUGUUCCAUAUACACCACAAGUAGAGAGAUAUCCAUAUCCUUGUUCAACAAGGUAGCCCUGCUCUCAAAAAUCAUAUAACGAGGCAACUCGGAAGCGAAUUUCCUCAUUUUAGCCUUUAUGCUAGAUACUAAUUCAGGAGUAUAACGCGAUAACUGAUGAAACUUUGAGGCAUACUACUUUACUAUCAUCCUUUCUUGAUUUAAAUUCAUGAAUUCCUCAGCCUUUGACUCCCUCAACUCCUAAAGAAAGAAGUGAUCAAGAAAAGCACUAGAAAAGUCACCCCAUAAAGCGGUCUCAACAUCAUUGCCCCUAGACUGGUCGUAUUCUUCAUACCACUGAUACACCACAUCUUUUAACUGAUAAGCAGAGAACUCCACACCCUCCAUAUCAGUAGCAUGCAUCACACGAAAAAUCUUCUCCAUCUCAUCAACUAAAUUUUAAGAAUCCUCCUCAACCUCUGAACCAGUGAAAGUUGGAGGACUCAACCUCAUAAAUUGUCCAACUCUAGUGACUUCAAACAAUGGAGCAAUAGAAGUAACACGCUCAGUCUGAGAUCCAUCAACUAUGUACAGAAAUGGAUCGACCGACGAAACUCAAAAUUAGACAUAUCAAUUUGAGGUGUUUGAGGAGGGCUAGGGGGAGCCAGUGGAACUCCACGUGGGGAAGUAAAAUCAGGAGAUGGAUCUAUAGAAUGGAUCUGAACUCCAUAAGUAGUACGAGCACCAUCGAUAUUAUCCUCAUAGGCAUAGAAGACUUUCUAUGAGCAUAAGAUCUUCUGGGAGGCAUGAUCUGAAAAGAAAACAUAUGGGAACUAGGGGAGAUUUCAGGAUCUUAGACUCUAUAGCCUGAAAUAAAACAACAAGAAGGAAAACAUUCCUAAAUAUUCCGUAGCCUCUCCCUUAUAAGUGUGGCAUGUUACACACCUAUAAAAAAGACUCUACUUGACACAGAUUUGUGGAUACCCAAUGACACCAAACCUAGGAUCUGAUACCAACUAUAUCACGACCCAAACUAGGGCUUGACCUUGAGGGGCAUCUCAAGCCCAACAAGGACCGGAGACAACCCCCUUCUCCUAACCAAAUAGAAUGCAAUACCCUCAAUAAUGACAGAAUUUCGAACAUAUAACAAGAUAUCAUAAGAUAAGCUCAAAGAAUUAAGAUAUGUCUAUAACCAAUAAAUACUAAGCAACCCAAAGACAAUGAAAAUGUUUAUGUGAACUCAUCAAGUCUAGUUUAUAAAAAUAAAACCGAUGGAAUAAUUAAGUUUUACAGAGAAUGGAAGCUCACCACUUCACAGCAAACAAAUGACGAAUCGAGCCGAUCCACUUAACACUGUGUAAGAAAAGUAAAAGUAUCUUUAGUACCUAUAUCACUUGGGGAUACAACAUUCAGAGAUAGUUACUGGUUUGAGCACUAGCAUGUAACUCAGGGAUAAGGUUAAAAUAAUAAAAAUUCAAAAUUCAGUUCAACUCAAUGUACAUGUUCACUUACAUGUAUGCAUACAUAUAUAUUUAUAUAACAUGUAGAGAUAAGGAAUAAGGCUUAACAUGUACUUUAAAACCUUAGAUUUGAUGGUGUAGCUCAACCAUCAUUUAAUAGUACCCAGGGAUAUAUGGCCCCCAGUUUUUACCCCUGGUCGAGCCCUAGUGCAUGUAGCCGCACGAACCAGAGAAUAAUCUCAUAUAUAUGAAUUUGAGACUCGAACCUCUCAAUCAUAUACUAAGGUGGCUUAAGCACUUGAUCAUGAAAUAUAAUAUAGUGGACUCGAACCUCCCAAUAAUAAUAAUAAGGUGGACUCAAACCACCUGGUCAUAAGCUAGGGGACUCGUACUCCAGGCCAUUUCAACCCCUACAACAGCAAAUGCAAUUUCUAGUAUUAGCUUCUCAGGACCUCUACUUUCACUAGCUAGAUACACAACCCUCUUUUAAGCCCCAUUAAAAUAAUUAUGACACAUUCCCAUUGAUUAAACCAUAAUACACAUUUAGGCAUACACUGCUGUAUCGUCAUACCAACCACACUUGCAAGGUAUCAUCAAUAUGCCAAAUCAAUUCCAUUUAACUCGAGAGAACAACUCUAUUUGUCCAUUAAUACAAGGUGUGGCAAAAUUGAAACCCUUUGUUUAUUAAAUCAAACCAUCAUAUUUAAUAACCUCUUAUAUCAUGCAAUUAUUCCAAUAUUAAUUCAAUACUAUUAUACUCAUGCUCAGAAAAACUUCCACAAAAUUUGGGUUAGGGUUAUUGCCAUUUCAAUUGUAAAUAUUCAUUAAAUUUGGAGAAAUCACAAUUCCCUAGCUUAUUCACCAUGCCCAUGCACCUUAUAAGUUCAAAACCAUAAAUAAAGCAUGAAAAAUUACAUGUAAACCAUGGAAAAUAUUAUUUAGAAUCAAACAUUCAAAACCCACAACCCAUGUUCCAAAACCAACAUGAAAACCACAUGAAUAACUAGUUAGAACACACGCUUUUACAAAAUAUUAGUUGGGGAAGAGUAACAAGCCUAAAAUAUCAAAGUUAUAGAGAGAAUUUUCCCUUGAAGCUCUAAUUGAUCAACUUAUUUAAAACCCUAAGUAUCUUACUUGAGAGAAUUUAGAUAGUUUAAGAGAUUGUUUUGAUUAUGCAUAGUAUGCUAAUGAAGUCCCAAAGAGGGUUUUAAGUCAUGGGGGCUAAGUGGGGGUAGGAGGGAAAUUACCAAGAUGCCUUUUAUUAAAAGACUAAAAAUCGGCACCCAAUCGUUUCAAGUGACCUCAUGAAUCAUAUGGUCACCCUAAGAAUCUUUUAGUCCAGUCAUAGUAUGGACAGUGUCUAAGGUCACCCCAUAUUAGCUGGGUUAGGAGUCUCACUAUAUGAUUCGUAGCUGGUCCUUACGAUUCGUAAACAUGCUAGGUUAAAAUAAUAAAAAUUCAAAAUUCAGUUCAACUCAAUGUACAUGUUCACUUACAUGUAUGAAUACAUAUAUAUUUAUAUAACAUGUAGAGAUAAGGAAUAAGGCUUAACAUGUACUUUAAAACCUUAGAUUUGAUGGUGUAGCUCAACCAUCAUUUAAUAGUACCCAGGGAUAUAUGGCCCCCAGUUUUUACCCCUGGUCGAGCCCUAGUGCAUGUAGCCGCACGAACCAGAGAAUAAUCUCAUAUAUAUGAAUUUGAGACUCGAACCUCUCAAUCAUAUACUAAGGUGGCUUAAGCACUUGAUCAUGAAAUAUAAUAUAGUGGACUCGAACCUCCCAAUAAUAAUAAUAAGGUGGACUCAAACCACCUGGUCAUAAGCUAGGGGACUCGUACUCCAGGCCAUUUCAACCCCUACAACAGCAAAUGCAAUUUCUAGUAUUAGCUUCUCAGGACCUCUACUUUCACUAGCUAGAUACACAACCCUCUUUUAAGCCCCAUUAAAAUAAUUAUGACACAUUCCCAUUGAUUAAACCAUAAUACACAUUUAGGCAUACACUGCUGUAUCGUCAUACCAACCACACUUGCAAGGUAUCAUCAAUAUGCCAAAUCAAUUCCAUUUAACUCGAGAGAACAACUCUAUUUGUCCAUUAAUACAAGGUGUGGCAAAAUUGAAACCCUUUGUUUAUUAAAUCAAACCAUCAUAUUUAAUAACCUCUUAUAUCAUGCAAUUAUUCCAAUAUUAAUUCAAUACUAUUAUACUCAUGCUCAGAAAAACUUCCACAAAAUUUGGGUUAGGGUUAUUGCCAUUUCAAUUGUAAAUAUUCAUUAAAUUUGGAGAAAUCACAAUUCCCUAGCUUAUUCACCAUGCCCAUGCACCUUAUAAGUUCAAAACCAUAAAUAAAGCAUGAAAAAUUACAUGUAAACCAUGGAAAAUAUUAUUUAGAAUCAAACAUUCAAAACCCACAACCCAUGUUCCAAAACCAACAUGAAAACCACAUGAAUAACUAGUUAGAACACACGCUUUUACAAAAUAUUAGUUGGGGAAGAGUAACAAGCCUAAAAUAUCAAAGUUAUAGAGAGAAUUUUCCCUUGAAGCUCUAAUUGAUCAACUUAUUUAAAACCCUAAGUAUCUUACUUGAGAGAAUUUAGAUAGUUUAAGAGAUUGUUUUGAUUAUGCAUAGUAUGCUAAUGAAGUCCCAAAGAGGGUUUUAAGUCAUGGGGGCUAAGUGGGGGUAGGAGGGAAAUUACCAAGAUGCCUUUUAUUAAAAGACUAAAAAUCGGCACCCAAUCGUUUCAAGUGACCUCAUGAAUCAUAUGGUCACCCUAAGAAUCUUUUAGUCCAGUCAUAGUAUGGACAGUGUCUAAGGUCACCCCAUAUUAGCUGGGUUAGGAGUCUCACUAUAUGAUUCGUAGCUGGUCCUUACGAUUCGUAAACAUGCUAGUCACAGUCACAACAUGUACUUAGGAUAGUACAUUGGCUCCCCUACGAUUCACCCCCUAUGACUCGUUAUGAGUUCCUAUGACUCGUAGGUUCCAAGUCGUAGUCAAGACAGAAACUCCAGGACAACAUACUAGCCAGGCUACGAUUGGGUCCCUAAGACCCACAAUGACAACCUAUGACUUGCAGGGUAAGUCGUAGUGGGGAAAGUAAGCUCAAAAAUCAAGAAAUUUUCCAGGGACCAAAAACCAAGGUGUUAUAGUAUAUUAGCAGACACACUGAAGUAUGUCAAGAGAGAAAAAAACUUGCAACUUCUUGGUUUCUGAAUUUUAUUGUAUUUUUAUUUUUGUUUAGUUCAACUAUUCAUUUUGUUGAGACAUAUAUCUAUACUCUAUAUCUCUAUCUCUAUUAUAUUAAAAUUAUGAAGGACCUUAGAAAUAUUGUUUGAACUUUUUUAUCUUUAUUUAAAGUCGCUGCUUUAGAUAAUAUCGUCUUUUUACUUUUUUUUUUCCAAUUAUUAUUUAGUUAAAUUAAGGACCCCUAAAAUAUAUGUAAAAAAAGUUUAAAAAUUAAAUAGAUGAAAAGAAAUAAAUAAAUAUAUAAAUCCUAAAAUAUAUGGGAAGCAAUUAAGAGCCCUAAAAUAUAUGUGAAGAACCACAACUUUGUCGUUUGUCUUUUUUUUUGGGUAUUUUAUUUCUUUUUAUUUUUCUUCUUGCCUUUUUAUUAAGUUUUGAUUAUUUUGAAAAAUUGAUUUAUAAUUUGUCUUGAAUUUAAUUACUUUCUUACUUUUGUGUAGAUUUGUUGAUUCAUGCAUAAUGAUUCAAGUCACAAAUUGUAUUAACUUGUGCUGCAAAAAGCAAAAAAGGCUAGAGGUUACUGCUAUUAUAACGAAUAUGUUAAUAUUACCCUUGAUUAGUUGAUGUGCAAUUAAUGAUCAAAUUAUUUUUUUAUUUUUCUCUAGCAUUUUGUCACAACAAUCUUUAUGACCACUGUCUUAGAUGUCUUGGGUACAUCCAAGCUUCUCAUUUACCCCUUCUAGAUCUUCUAAAAUUUGUACUAUUGCAAACUUCUCUAUUGCUAGGAUGAACAUCAGUUUGAGGUAGAACUCAGUGGGAUUCUACCACGCAAUUCUAGGAUUACCAAAUUCAUCUUGCUUUUCUGAUUCUAUCGAGAACUUCAAAUGCUAAUCUCUAUAUUACUCUCAGAUUACAAAAUUGAGAAUGAUCCCUAUGUCUUGCUUACUAGAGGUGGACUUUAACAAGAGUUAUUGUGCAAAGGACAUAAAACCGAGCAUUGUUGUGGUACUCCUAGGUGUUGUUUUUGCACAGUAACCGACUUGAGUAUCAAUGCCAAAGGCUUCAUUGCUGUCUUUGUAGUUGUAUGGAGAACUUCUUUGCAAUAAUAUGUAAGUUGUCUCAGCAAUUUGAUAUCGUAUGCCAUCUUGAAAAGUUUGAUCAGAUCAGGUAAAUAAUGCACUAAUAAUUUCAACUUUCAAUAUGACAUGUUUAAACAACAAAAUUAAAGCGUAUUUUGGUACAUUAGACAUAUUUUAAAUUUAAGACAACAUGAUUCACAAUUUCUUUACUUUUUUAAACUUAGUGUUAAGUCAAAAUAUCCAAACAAAUUGAAACAAGGAGUUCCUUUUUUUGGUUUUCAAUUUUUUUUCUAAGAAAGUUUCUAGUAACAAAUUACCAUAAAGUUAAGAGUAUUCUCUGUAAUGAUUUCUCUUAAUCCCUACCCCCUCCCUGGUUGAUGCUAGCACGGUGUAUGUCGGCUUUAUGUAUCAUAUUGUGUUAUAUUUUGCAUGCUUUUACUAUUUCCAAACUUCUUAAUCACCACUAUUGGUUAAGAGAGUUUGAUGCUGAUAUGUUUUCACUAUUACUUGAUCUUUAAUGUAAUUCAAGUGGUAUUUUCAGUCUUAGUUUAUCCUUUUAUUAUUAUUUAUGUGGUGGUGUCUGACUGGAUAUAGAAUUAUACAAGUCUAGUUUGAAACUUUUGAUCUAAAAUAAGUUACAGACAGUUGUGCGACUAUAAAUCAUAAAAUAAGUAGUUUAAAGUUAAAUUGUUUCUAAUUGAGAAAGUAUCACAUUCUAACUAACUCAAUAAAAAUAUACCUACAUUUAAUGGGACAAAGGGAGUAUCUUAUGUGGUGGUAUUUGACUUGAUGCUAAAUUUAUAUAAGUCUAAAUUUGAAAUUUAUGAUCUAGAAUAGGUUAUAGACAUAUGUGUGGCUAUAAAUCAGAAAAUGAGUAGUUUAAAGUUAAGUUGUUUCUAAAUAAGAAAGUAUUGUUAUUUUCGGGUACAAAAUCUAUAUAUUUCAAUACGAACUUCAACACCAAGUUCAAGAACAACUUUCAAGAACUACAAUGAAGUUCAACAACUUCAAACACAAGUUCAAAUGAAUAAUCAAAUGCACUAUUAAAAUGAAGUUUAUAUCGACUUUAAGAAAAUGAAGAUGAAGCAACAAAAAUUGAAUCAAAGUCCACCGACUUCACGGUGUGUUCUUAAGAAUUUUAUUCCCCUCAAGUACCCGAGGCUAAUGGAAUCUUUCCUCCUAGGAUAAAAUGAUUCACUUUAAGAAAAUAGUGGUGCCUCAAAAUUUUGAAAACUUCAAACUCACUCAAUGAUUUGAUGACUGCACAAGAGUUUUUGAAGAAGACGAAGAUGUUUUUUCAACUCAAAUUCGUGUCUUUACUUAAGAAAAAAUUUAGGUAUUCAUAGGCAACAAGGUGUUGUUUCACAAAGAGAAGUAAUGGUUUAGAAAGAUGCAACUCUUCGAAAAAGGUGUAACUCUAUGAAAAAGUCAUAACCCAUUAAUAAGGUUAUAACCAUCCAAAGUGAUAAGGUUCCAUUUCAAAUUGCAUCCUUUCUCUUGGUGUCUUUCAAGAAAAAAUACCUAUUAAUUUUUCAUUCACACCUCUUAAAAACCUAACAGCCCCCCAUAUGAAUGGUGAAUGAUUGUAUUAUAAAAAAAAUAUACGGACAAGUGUGUGAUCUAUAAGCAAAGACUAAUUGCAUCUAGAUAAGUAGGUUUUUCUUUAAGCUUUCUGUAGUGAACUUGUAUCAAAUGAACUCGGUCAAUUGGUAGAUGUGAUAUCUUUGAACCAUUGAACUUUAAUGUACACCUAGACAAUAGAAGUCACACAACUAGUCUUUUAGUAUUUAUGGUUCUCAUGGUUUUGUUUGUUUCAGACAUAAACAUGGCCUAAUUUCAUGAGAGCUUAGAGAAUAAGACUUUACUAUCAUUCUCCUUGAAGUGGAUUUCACUUCACUCUCACAUAGGUGAUUCCUAAAUGUUUAAUACCUUAGAUCAAACUAUUUGAUCAAAUAUGCCAAACUUAGAAAUCAUUAAAAAGUUUUAAACCAUAAGCUUUAUCCUUGUUUCCUGAACAUUGUCUUCAUUAUGAGAAUAGGUUGAGUAUAUUGGCAAUGUUGAACCGUCUGUCACAACUUUUUUUGAUGUCCUUGAGCCUAGCUCUUGGGUUCUCCAGUAUGCUAGGUAUAGUUACCUUCAUUAUGACUUUUCCUAGGUCGUAAACCCAUUCUCUUUGAUGAUUUCUCAGCUCCCUCUCUAUAUAGGCCUUACGUAAGUGGAUCCAACAUAUUAUCCUUUAACUUCACAUAGUCAAUCAUGAUAAUUCCACUAGAGAGUAAUUCUUUAAUAGUAUUAUAUCUCUAUCUUAUAUGAUAAGAUUUACCGUUAUACAUCAUGCUCCCUACCCUACCUAUUGCCACUUGACUAUCACAGUGUAUACUUACUAGUGCCAAAGGUUUGGGCCAAUAAUGAAUAUCUUCCAAAAAAUUUUGGAGCGAUUCAACUUCUUUACCGGCUUUAUCUAACGCGAUAAAGUCUAAUUUCAUUGUAGAGCGGGCAAUACAUGUCUAUUCGGAUGAUUUUCAAAAGGCUACUUCUCCACCUAAAGUAAAUACAUAUCCACUCAUGGAUUUUACUUUAUUCGAUCUGGUGAUCCAAUUUGCAUUACUAUAUUCUUUAAUUGCCACUGAAUAUUGGUUAUAAUGCAGAGCAUAGUCUUGAGUAUGUUUUAGAUAUCCAAAAACUCUUUUCAUUGACAUCUAAUGAGUUUAAUUGAGGUUACUCGUGUGCCGACUCAAUUUACUAACAACACAUGCUAUGCCUGGUCGCGUACAAUUUAUGAUAUACUUCAAACUUUCCAACACUUUUAUGUAGUCCAACUGUGAGUCACUUCCACCUUCGUUCUUUUGAAGUGUAAAGCUUACGUCUAGUUGAGUCUUAGCAAUACAAAAGUCAAAAUACUUGAAUUUAUUAAGUACUUUUUUAAUGUAAUGAGAUUGUGACAACGCCAACCCUUGUGGAGUUCUAUGAAUUCUUAUUUCUAAGAUCACAUAUUAAAAUCGAAGAUCUUUCAAAUCAAACUUGCUCUCAAGCAUUUAUUUCAUAGCAUUUAUGUCAGAAAUAUCUCUACUUAUGAUCAACAUAUCACACACAUAAAAGCAAAUAAUGACUUCAUGAUUUGAAGUGUCUUUAAUGUAAACAUAUUCAUCACAUUCAUUUAUAUUGAAGAUGUUUUCCAACAUGGUUUGGUCAAACUUUUCAUGCCACUGUUUGGGUUCUUAUUUUAGUCCAUAAAGUGAUUUAACAUGUUUGCACACUUUCUUUUCUUUACUAGUAACCACAAAACCCUUAGGUUGUUCCAUGUAAAUUUCUUCCUUCAAUUCUCCAAUUAAAAAUGUUAUUUUUAUAUCUAUUUUAUGGAUUUCAAGACCAUAUACCCCCGCCCCCCACCUCUAGGGAAACCAACCUCCAAAUGGACGUUAUCCUUGUUAUAGGUGAGUUUGUGUUGAAAUAAUCAAGCCCUUCUUUUUGUCUAAAGCCUUUCACAACAAGUAUUGCCUUGUAUUUGUCAAUAGUACCAUCAAAUUUUAUUUUUCUUUUGAAGAUCCAUUUGAAGCAUAAAGGUUUAUUUAUUGAAGAAAGAUCAACCAACUCCCAAGUAUGGUUGCUCAAGAUUGAAUCAAUCUCACUAUUGACUGCCUUUUUCAAAAGGGAUGAGUCUGAAGACGACAUCACUUGUUUAAAUAUUUGAGUCUCAUUUUUAUAAAGAAAUGUUACAAAAUUUGAUCCAAAGGAAGUUAAUGUUCUUUGAUGUGUACUAUGCCUUGGAUUCUCAUUAUUAAGUACAUUCUUUUUUGGUUCAUCUCGAGGUCGUUUAGACUCUCCACUAGACUACUCAUGUCCAGUUUUAUAUGGAUAAAUAUAUUCAAGGAAUUCAAUAUUAUUUGAUUCAAUUAUCAUAUUUUUAUUAAUAUCUAGAUGUUCAAAUUUAUGAACCAAAAAUCAACAUGCUUUACUACUUUCAACAUAUCCAAUGAACACACAGUCCAUAGCCUUAGGUUCUAUUUUUACCCUUUUAGGCAUAAGAACUUGAACUUUUGUUAGACACUCUCAUACUUUGAAAUAUAAAGUUAGGUUUCCUUCCUUUCCAUUUUUCAUAUGAAAUUGAAUGUAUCUUAAUAUGGGUCACUCUAUUGACUAUUUGAUUUGCUUUAAGGAUAGCUUCCCCUACAAGUUUUGUGGUAAAUCCAAAAUUAUGAGUAAGACAUUCAUCAUUUCCUUUAAUGUUUGUUUUUUUCCUUUCGGCAAUCACAUUUGAUUGAGUUGAAUAUGGGACAAUAGUUUGAUGGACUAUUUCAUUUUCUGAAUAUAUCUACACAAAAAGAGAUUCAUACUCUCUACCCCUAUUGCUUCUUAUCAUUUUAAUAUUUUUAGCCAACUGAAUUUCAACUUCUGUUUUAUAUUGCCUAAAUACGUCUAUUACUUCAUCCUUACCAUUUAGCAAAUAAGCAUAAUUUUAUCAGUGCAAUUAUCAGUAAAAGUUAUAAAAUACUUUUUCCCACCAUGAGAUGAUGGUGACUUCAUACCACAAAUAUCUGUAUGUAUUAAGUCUAAGGGAUUAGAAUUCCUUUCAACAUACAUAUAUGAAUGCUUGACAUACUUUGAUUCCAUACAUGUUUGACACUUUGAUUUUUUUCACUCAAAGUUCGGCAAAACUUCUAAAUUGAUUAGUUUUUGCAAGGUUUUUUAAUUGACAUGUCCUAAAUGUUCAUACCACAAUUCAUUUGACUAAAGUAAAUAAGAAGAAAUAAAACUUUUCUUGAUUUCAAUAGUCAUUACAUUGAUCUUAAAACGGCCCUUGGUGAGGUAAACUUUACCUGUAUACACUUCUCCUUUUCUAAUUACAACCUUAUAAAAACAAAUAUACAUUUGAAUCUAUUUUUGGUCAGAAGUGAAAUAGAAACCAAGUUCUUUCUCAAUUCUGAAACAUGAAGGACAUUAUUGAGUGUCACUACCUUGCCUGAUGUCAUCAUUAAGCAAAAUUUUCUCAUUCCUUCAACUUUUGAUAUUAUGGAGUUAUCCAAAUAAGUCUUCUCCUCAUAUAUAGCCUAAGCAUACAAUACAAACAAUUCCUUGUUGGCACAUAAGUGAUGGGUGGCUCCAGAAUCAAUCCACCUCUCUCUAGGAUUACCAACCAAGUUUCAUUGUGAAAGCAUAAUGCAAAGAUCAUCAACAUAAUUUUUUGAUUCAUCCACAUUGGCUUGAUCUUUCUUAUUGUAUUUAUUAGGGGAUCUAUGGUCUACCAACUUAUGGCCAACCUUUCCACAAUUAAAAUAAUUUCCUUUGAAUAUCUUCUUUGAAGGAAUUCUUUGUUGUCCAGAUGUUUUCUUUUAUUUCUAUUCUUUGUUAGGGUCAUCCCCCACAAUAUUUGCUCCACUAAUUGCGGAAUUCCCUUUUGACCUCUUAUCAGUAGCUUUGUUAUCUUUCUUAAUUUGAAACCUCAUAAUGAGGUCUUCAACUGAAAUCUCUUUUUUAUUAUACUUCAAGUAGUUUUUGAAGUCUUUCCACAAAGGUGGUAACUUCUCUAUUAUAGCUGCUAUUUAAAAAGACACAUUCAAAAUGAAUCGUACAUCAAAGGUCACAUGAUUAUUAAGAACAAACUUAACAUGUUCAAAUAAGAUAUUUACUAUGUUCAUACCUUCUGCCAGGAGAUCAUGGAUGAUUACUUUUAAUUCUUGAACUUGAGAGACGACAAUCUUACUAUCUAUCAUCUUAAAGUCAAGAAAUCUUGAAAUAAUGAACUUUUUUUUUUCCUGUAUCUUAGUCUUACAUUUCUUUUUCAAAGCUUUCCAUAAUUCUUUCGAGAUUUUCAUACUGUUGUACACAUUGUACAAGUCAUCUUUAAGGCUACUCAGUUCUUACAAAAGAAAUUUGAGUGUUUCCAAGACCCCAUUAAAAUAAAACGUUCCUUUUCUGGUUUUUCUUUGGGCAAUUAUGGAGAGUUUUAAAAGAUGAACCAUUGAAGACUUAGAGUAGUCAAGUAAAAAAAUAUCUUUUGCUACCAACAUUUGAAAUCCACACUUGAAAACUUUUUAGGUUUCUCCGCUAGUGCCAUAACAGGUGCAACAGUUGAACGGAUUGAUGUAGCAAUAGUUGUUGCUGCUACACUUGACAUUCCAUCAUUAGCAUCACUUUCAACAGACUUUUUUAUUUUCACAAAGAGACAACCAAUUUAUUAUGUCAAAUUACUAACUAUAAAGUUCUAAAACUUUAAACACUAACUUGUACCUAGUUUAACAAGGAAGUUUUUAUGUUCUUUGAAUCGUCAACUGAAUGAAAUUUAACUCAUGAUGAAGUUUUUAUAUAUUCAAAUCACUAUUAACUUCAAACAGAGUAGAUAGCAAAAAUUUUUAAUCUCCAGAAAUGCAAAAAAUACAGUGUUAAAUGAAUCGGUGAAGUUCUUAUAUUCUUCAAAUCGAAUUCCCAAAUUGAUUUCUCGGUGAAGUUUUUAUAUUCUUCCAACCAAGGGAAUAGAAAAUUACAAGACUUUCGUCUCCACAAAAUUAGUUUCAAUAAAGAUUACAAAAGUUCUUUCUUUAUAAAUGGUAAAGUUUUCUUUUCCUUCACCAAAUAAGUACAAAAAUAAACAUAUUUUUUCAAUAAAUUCCUUAAGAUUGUUAUUUUUGGGUACAAAAUUUGUAUAGUUCAAUAAGAACUUCAACACCAGGUUCAAGAAUAAUUUUAAGGGCACCAAUAAAGUUUAACAACUUCAAACACAAGUUCAAAUAGAUAAGCAAAAUGAACUAUCAAAAUGAAGUUUAUAUCAACUUUAAGAAAUGAAGAUGAAGCAGAAAGAUCGAAUUAAGUGCACCGAAUUCACAGUGUUUCCUUAAGGAAUUUAUUCCCCUCAAAUAUUCGAGGUUAAUUGAAUUUUUGCUCCCAGGAUAAAAUGAUUUAGUUUCAGAAAAUAGUGGUAUCUCUAAUUUUUUGAAUCUUCGAACUCACUGAACGAUUGAUGAUCAAACACGAGUUUUAAGAAGAAGAAUAAGAUUUUUUUCAACUCAAAUUCAUGUCUUUACUUGAUAAAAAAUUUAGGUAUUUAUAGCCAUCAAGGUGUUGCUUCAUGAAGAGAAGCAAUGGUUCAGAAAGGUGCACCUCUUUGAAAAGGUGCAACUCUUUGAAAAAGUAACAACCGAUUAUAAAGGUUAUAACCAUCCAAAGUGAAAAGGUGCCUAUUCAAAUUGCAUCCUUUCUCUUAGUGCCUUUCCGAAAAUGUUAUAACCAUCCAGUGUACUAAGCUCUCGACAAGCGCAGGAUCCUGGGAACUAACUAAAGAAAAAUUAUACCUGCAUUAAAUUGGGAUAGAGAGAGUAUCUUAUACUAUGUUGUUCUUGAUUUUUACUCUUUUUCCCAUGAUGAUUUUUAGAAUAUAGCCUGAAAAUUUAUGAUAGACUCACUUAUUAGUGUUUUUCUCCUAAUUUUUCAUUCUACAAACACAUAUGCCAUGUAGAUUUUGGAUGUGUAUAGUUAAAUUAUUUGAUCUAGAUCCUGCAACAUGGAGAAUAUGAAUAUCUAUUGGCAAUUCAGGGAUGACCAACAAUCAAAA
rnacentral:lncRNA from 1 species